rnacentral:lncRNA from 1 species
UUUUUUUUUUUUUUUUUCCUUUUUUGUGUUUUAAAGAAAGAGCAGAAUAAAAAGCUUUAACUUCCUUUUGCAUAAUUUUAGCUUUUGUUAGGUGUAUGAAUUUGGGAGAUUAAUUAUUCUUUGUCAUUGCUUUCACAAAGCACUAAAACUUUGGUCUAAAACGGAAGUUGGGACACUGACUUUUUAGAGUGUUAUGGAAUAUAUAAAGAUUUUGAACCAACACAAAUUAGCCAAGUUGAUAGACAACCAUAUGCUAAUGUUGGCAAUGACACUUUUUAAUCAAUUUGGCGGGGCACCAAACUCAAUUCAAAUCAAAUUAUAGCUAAACCACAACAUUAAUCAAUAUAAUUAUAAAAAAAAAUACCACUAUCUUCUUAUCAUAGAUACACAUUGUAGUCCCUUUCGAUGAACUUAUAUUGUGGGUGAUAAAUUGACACUAUCUAGAGGUUUUGAUAUAAUCACUAGUCUUUACCUUCUCUAACUAACUUACUUGUCCAUCAAUAAAUGAGAAUAAAAGGUAAAAUAAGAAACUGAGAUGAAUUUAUACAUUCUUAAAAGUGAUUAACUGAUAGAAUUUAGGACGUUUGGAAUAAUUGAAUUCUAGUCAAGAUGAGCACUAAACAAAUGUAUGCCCUAUCACUCCCACUUGUAUUGGUUUUUCCAUUGAGUCCUUCAAUAGGGUAUGUGGAAGUGGAACCCAUCCAUCCUCGAGUACAAUAAAAAGAUGAUAAAUUCAAACUAUAGACCUUUUGUUUUGCUAAUACGUCAGGUAUGUAUAUGAUACAAAUCUCUCAAGUAACAAAUUAAAUACAUAUAUAUUCUCAAGAAUAAAUAAAUAAAUAAGUAAAAAUAAAGUGGUUCUUAAAAAUGGGUUUAUUAAUCUCUACUUUUCUCAACUACACAUUAGACACUUGAGUAAAUAUUCUAAUUUUUUGACAUAAUUCUAAAUAUAGUAACAAGAAAAGGGCAGUUAUGUCACUAAAACUUUCUUUGGACGAUUCAGGUGUAGCCUUGUUUACUUGGAGGAAGCUCAAAAAUUAGCCAAAACUCCCGUUCAUUCAGCCUUCUCUCGGACACAGUCUUCUUUAUGAAACAUAGCAUAUUGAUCCUCAAGUCCUACAUUCAAAGACCAAUCAUGUUGGUAAUAAUAGGGAUAUCAAAAUGCAAAACUAAACACUACAAUGCAAGUAGAGGGAAUCUCUAUAUUAUUUUCUGGUUCUUUAAAAUAUUAGUUCACGGUUGUUUUAUUUUCAUUAUCGAACAUUGGGUAUUUACAUUGACAAGUAUUUGAACACAUGUUGUGAGUCAAACAUAAAGUUUUCAAAUUUUUGUUUAAUGGUGACACUAUGAUAGAACCUAAAUAUACCAAUAUAAAUGGUAACCAAACUAUAAAAUAAACUAAAGUUUUUUCCAAUCUUGAGAUUAAUCUAAAGCCCUAGUUUACUCACCAAAAUAUUGCCUACCCUCCUCAUUCCCCUACCAUAUUUAUAACCAAGAAUAACAAACUCUCUAGCUAAUUACUAAUUACCUUCAAUACUCGGUCCCUGAUGCCAUCUCUAUCACACUAAUCACAAUGAAAAGAGACCUUGUAUUUCUUAUCAGGAAAGAAACAUAAGUUGAGUUGGCUGGGGAAGAAACAUUUAUACUUUGGGCAAAUUGAAAAAAUGGGAGGGGAAGUUGUUGGGAUUUUCUUCAAGUGUUUCUAUGCGUUUAAGUUAUAAAUGGUGAGAUUUUUUAAAUCCUAUGGUUUCAUCUGAACAGAAGUUUGAGGGAUAACCUGUUGAAGAGAACAUCUGUACAACAACCAAGAACUUAGGUAAUUGCCCAAAACUUCUUUCUACAGAUCAGCACAGAUUCUGGGUUAUUAUCUUUCGUUUGCAGUGUCUGCAUUUCAACAUCCCAUAGAUAUUUGGAAGCAAUUUCUUGUAUUCUUGAUGUUAUUGAAGGUUCGUCUCUGAUGAUUAUGUAUCCCUGUACAUGAAAAUGAUUCAAAGACAAUUUGAAGCAUAAAUUAGAAACAGUAGAAGAUAUGCCAAUAGGCAGAUUACGCUUGCUUCUCCCUUCCUAAAUUUUAGCAUUAUGGGAGGAGAUCUCCGUUACAAAGAACUUUGAUAACAGAAAUGUCAUGCCCAUGAAAUCUUACAAGAACAGAGAAAUGGAUACAUCAUACAGCAUUACGGUGACAUGCUAUUUUCUAAAAAUCUAGACAUACUAAGCAUUGUUCAGGACAUGUUUAUUAGAAUGUGCAUUUCUUAGAUAUACAUUCUUUAGAUAUUCGUUAAAAAUUCCUGUGCUAACCCUUUUAACUUAAGAUAUUUUCAUGCCAGAGAUAAUGUAAAAGAAGUAAAGAUAGCAAUACUUGAAGAGUUUGGAGAAACUAAUGAACUAUUUCUCAUGGUACAAUGACUAAUAUCAAACUUUUCAAAUGCAUAGAACAAACUAACAUUUUUGUUGAAAUUUAAAGCGACAACAUGGAUUAUAUGUGCUAGUAAAAAAUUAUAUAGUUAGACAAAAAGUUUAGUCCAUGAACUUGGAUGUAUUUAAAAGAUCUUUAAAUGUUAAGAAGCUCCAACGAAGGGCAUUUUUGGCCCAAAGAGUAGGAGAUUAGGGGAAGUGGAGUGGACUUCCCUCCUUGUUUGGUCAAAGAAGCUUGUGGACCCCACACACUUAAACAACUCUCCAAUUUUAACAACUACCCAAACUAAACAACUUCACUCCUUACCCAAAUGCCCCCCCCAUAAAUCUCAAAACUUUUAGUUUUAUGUUCCAUAUGUUCCUUAACUUUAUAAAUGUUUAAAUCCUUCAUCUUUCAUUUUUUUAUCUAUUAAGUCAUUGUCAUUGAUUUAUUAAUCAAACAUUUUGUAAACUAUUAAACAAAAUAGAAAAUUGAGGGCCUAUAAAAUGAUUUUAAAGUUCAAAAACUUGUCGACACAAAAUUAAAAGUGUAUAAACCUAUUAAGCUAUUACAUACUCUUUUAAGUUGAGAGAUUUAUAAAACACAACUAAAGGACUAGACUUAAAUUUUUAAUUAGACCUUAGGGGGCGUUAAAGACAAGGACUAUCCUAAGACUAUAAUAACUACCUCUUGCUACAGCUACAGUGAAUACUCUUUUAUACUCCCAAUUUAGCUGAAGUCAACACUAUUUCAAAGGCCCUCAUUUCCUACAAUAUUUACUAUUUGCUAAAGUUUUUACUAUUUUACAUUUUCAUUAAUUUUUAUUAUUUACUAGUCUCCUAUUUCCUUCUCAAACUAAAGUAGUUUACACCUCACACGCAUACUUUUAUAACCCAAACUAAAAUAAUCUACGUACCAAACACAAACUAUUAUAACUAAUCUAUAAUAACCAACUCCUUGUCCCAAACAACCCCCUGCUAAUUUUAUCCUAAUAUUUGUCCAUGUUUGUACUUUCUAUAUUAUGUGUGUAUAAAUAAAUAAAAUAGAUACUUUAGGUCCUUCAUUUGUUUAGUAGGGUCGUAAUUUCUAUAAUUUGACAUGUAUUUAUUAUACUUAAGCGUUCAAUUCGAGUCCAAUCAUUUUUAGACUCCUUUAAUUCAUUCAAUUUUUGUUAAUGAGUGUCAAACUUGUGUCUAUCAUACUUGAGAACUGUUGGACACAAGUACAAUAAGGAGUAGUGUGGAUCUGACGCAGACACAUGCGUAAGCUCAAAUGGAAGUGUCCAUGCUUCAAAGCAAAUCUUAUUUAGUUCACCAAAUGCACAAGGGUCGUGUUGUGAUGUCCUUUUUGUUUCCUGUUAUUGUUUCAGAUUGUUGAGAAAUGUGUGUUUGGUAGUUUUUGUAUUUUGUCAAGGUUGAUUGUUCCUUUUUAUUUCAUAAGAAAUAUCAAGAGUAGAUUCCAAAAAAAGGAACAAGAACAGCCUAUAGGCCGACCACAGGGUCAAUUAUUACAUGACUCUGGUUUCUUGUUUUUAAGAAAUAAUUUUAAAAUAAAAGACACGGCUAGAGAUUUGAUUUCUUCUCUAAUUUUCAUGGUAUAAAAAUUGAAGUUAGAAUUAUUGUCUUAUCAAGUUCAGUCACAUAAUUCAUAAUAAAUCCAAAUUAUUUUGACUAUUUGAAUAUUUAAAAAAAACAAAUAAAGUUUUCUAUUAAUUUAAAGUUCUAAAAAAAAGGAAUUUCCAAACAUAUUUCUAUUUCUAUAAGACCAAAAUGCAUUUUUGUCUUACUUUUAAAAUUUUGGAAAACAAAAACCAAAUAUUGAGAAACAACAAACAAGAGAGGUAAACAGAUUAAUCAAAACUUUUACGAUGCUAAACACAUAGGCAAAAGAAAAUGCAUUAUGCAAGCAAUGGUAGCAACGGUUAUACCAGAAAAACGGAGGUCUCAAGCAUAGCAUCAAUAUCUGCCAAAAGUAAUUUCCCUAGUUUUGUCUCUUCUUGUGGCUAUUACAAGCUUGAAAAUUGAAGGAAUCAAAUUAAUUACCUGAGGUCGUACAAUGCGGUCCAUUUCCAACAUUAUAUCCUCCAGCAAGCAACCCUCUCCACCACUUUUAUACUGAGAAAAUAGACGGUAUGCAUGCAACAAAUCGUAUGUGCGCGGAUAAGUUGAAAAUGGUUCACACCUACAUUAUAAGAGAUAUUAGAAAACCAAACAUUCAUUAAGAAAAACGAAAGAAACCAAACGGGCAGUAAUAAAAACAAAAACAAAUAAACAAACGAACAAAUCUAUGCAUAAGAGACCUAAGACGCUAACCAAAAAAAGCAAGAAAGCUGACCAUGGCUCAUACCUUUCCCGAGACAGCCCCCAAAAGAGUUCUAUUUUUUUUCCCAAAGCAAUAGAAGUGUUUGCAUGCCAAACAGUAUAAUACUUCUAAUAUUUGGAAGAUGUUGGAGAACAAAUAACUUACCAAUCAUGAAAGACACCAACCAGGCCCCGGUCAUAUAUAGCAGAGAGCGUGUUUUUCAUCUUUAUAGGAACUACAUUCAUAACCCAGACUGGAAAAUUGUUCAAUGCCACUGCAAAUCCACCAUAGAGAGCAUUCAUGUCCAUGACAUUUCGAAUAUCAGUUUCACUGACAUUCAUCAGUUUCCAGUACUGGUUAACUUGAUCUUUCCAAUAUAAGGUAUCCAAAUCAAAUUCCUCUUGACUAACACCUGUGAUUGAAGACAACAAUAUCAUCAUAAAACACAGCAAUCAGAUUUUCUAGGUAAGAGAAAAUAGAAACUAAGAAUAAUCGAGGCACUUCUUAGGAAGGAAAACUAACAAAGGUUCACCUCGUACAAUUUGCUAGCUCAAUGGUUUUAACCAAUACCAUUAAUAAAAAAGAUUGAUUUACUCAAGACUGAGAAUAAGAAAUAAUUGGAAGGAAAUCAAUGGGAAUAGAAGCGGUAAUCCUAUGUUUACUUGGAAGUAACUAUAAAUAGACUUAGCAGCCUAUGCGUGCCACUUAUUACAUUAGAAAUAAGAACAAGACAUUACAAUUACCGAAACGUUCCUUCAACACACCAACGAACUAAGAAUAUAUUAAUCAUAAAAAAUACCAAUAGAAUUUUGGGUCGUUUUCAAAUAUAGUAAAAUUAACCAAAAUAUUUACAAAUAUAGUAAAUAUCACAGUCUUUGUCUACAUAUGUCAUGAUAGACACACGCACAAUCUAUUGCAAAUAGUCCUAUCUUGUUAUGUUUGUAAAUAUUUUCAGGAGUGGUAUCAUUUAAAAUUAUUUUCCUAAAAGUUUUAUAUUAGAAGAAUACUUAUUAGUAAUAAAUUUUAAUUUAUUUUAUUGUCCAUAAAUAGUAAUAAAAUAUAUCUCAACACUUAUUUGAUUCAACAAAUAAUAACAAACUAAAAAUAAAUAAUUAACAAAUUAGGUAAAAGUCUGAAAUCAUGGAUAGUAAAGGCUCAAUUGGAGAGAAAAAAAAGGAAAGGAGUGUUGUUAAAUAUUCGUCAUUUUCUGGACAUUCUUUUCAGUCUAAUUUUGAAUUAACAGUUGAGGUUCAAUGAUAAAUAGUCUUGAAAUCCCUUAGAACUUUAAAUAGUGAUAGAUUAAAUAAAUAAAUAAGCUACCAUUCCAAACAGUUUUUUAAAGUGAAGACAACUACAUCAAGUUAUCAAAGUUAUUAUUCAAAAGAAAAACACUCAGGAAAUCCACAAAUAGGCCACCGAGAUAUAAUUUCUGCUUUUGAAUGAGAGCUUGGUGAAUUGAAGAACCAAAAACAACUAGGAGGAUUCCUUUAGAAAGAAAAGGUAUACCUAUUUUCCGUAGAUUCCUUGAAUAUACUGAAAGGCGCUCUGGUCUUGGAGGUAACUUCUGAGCAUAUGACUGAUCAGUUACGUGAAUACAGUUUCUUAAAGGUAUUUUCCAUGAUGGUUGAAAAUCAUCCACAGCAUCACAUAUUUCCACAGCCUUAUUCUCUGCAUUGAUGAUGAGGCAUGCCGGAUUUUCCUGUUUGAUCCAGAUUGCAGUCUGAACCUUUCUGGCAAUGAGCUUCCAGCACAUUGCUGUAGUCAGAUUCACCAGUUUCUCCCAUAUCAUUGGGUAUUCUUUAUCUUUUCUAUAGGCAGGGGGUGCUGAAUAGACAAAAUAUCCAUUUGGUCGCAGAAGCCGAUCAACUUCUUUGAGUAAAAUACCAUCUGCAAGAAUAAAGACAGUGAAAGUUUAAUGACUUUCAAGUAUAAAUCAAAACGGUAAAAUUGACAAGAUUCAGGGUGAAGGCAUAUGAGAGCCUUCAUAAAAAAUUCAGUGUAUCAUGUCACAUUAUCACCCAAAAAGGAAUCUGAACUUAUUCAGCACUGACAAAGUAAACAAGUAGCAACUUUCUUACAGUUGGUAACUAUAAACGUGGACAUGGAUAAUGGCAUUGUGGUCUUCAUUUAUCUUAAUGCUGCUCUAGAGGUUUCAUAAGAUCAUUAGUCCUUUUUCCGUUAUUUAGAAGAUAAACAUAAAUAUUUUCUCUUCUUUUCUUUUUUCCAUCAAGUGACAAAAUUUCUCGUGGAAGAGAUGAAUAAAGAUCAAUGCUCAAAAAUGGCAUACAAACUCUCUAUAGCGCAUAAAGAAAAGUAGCAAGUGAGAAUAACAAAUAAUAAGUAAUGGCUGUUCAUAAAGAGUACUGGAAUACCAUUUUCAUGCCAAUCAACACGACACCUAGAGCAGUGGACCAUCUCAAAGGAACUUGUGGGAUACGGCAGUUGAUUUGUUGCCAAGGCAGAAAUCAUUGCACCAAUACCUCUCUCUAGCGCAAAUUGAAUCUGAUUCUCAUGCCCGUCCUUGGGAGCAAAGGACAUCGUUUGGAUGCCCAAUGAAAGAAGAUAAGCUGAGAAACUAGCAACGCCACAACCAACAUCUAAAACCUGAUAUACUCCAGCAGAGCUCAGAGUGCCUGUAUCAUUUGUAGUCAUGUUUCCUAAUCUGCGUUAGAAUAAAAUUUGAUCAAUAGAACAGUCUGAGAAGAAAAUCUAAUCAGUAAUUCAGAUUGAUCAUAAAUACAAGGAAUCCAUUUUAAUAUUACUUCCCAAAUUGAAAAUCAAAUUAGAACAGCGGAAGGAUGAAUAUGAACCGACUGAUUAAAGGGUAUGAGUAUAUUCACAUCCCAAUAAGGAAACAAAAUAAAGAGGAAAAGGGAAGAUUCAAUAAGAGGCAACAACGCUACCUUUGGAUGUACUCAGGCGCCCCAUGUUUGAAGUGAGUACCACCUCCAGGAAACCACCAUAGUUGGUCCUUCUCAUGGACCCAAUUUUGUCCUCCUUUAACUUCAGCAAGGCGUGUGUGAUUCACAUUACUUCGCCACACAUAAUCCCGACUGGUUGGCCACUUUACUGGGAUCUUGUAGUCUUCUGGUGGAGGUACCAAACAAAACAAGCGGUUAUCAAGUGGAGGGCAGUGCCUCUCGAGCUCUUCUUUUCUUGAAAGAUCCAAUGUAGGAAUCAAUUCUUUUAUGUAAGAAAUGUCGUGGCAAGGAAUAUACUCGGUGUAGUUUAAAGGACAUACAUCCACACCAUUCUCUGGAAUCGAAAGUGGUACCUUCCUGUAAGUGAUUGAAACUUGGUUUGGAAUUGUGGAAUUUCCUGCAGUAUAAGAGAUAAACUUUGAGACAAGGAAUUGAUUGCAACGAUAACUUAAAACCUUUAAAGUUCCUAGAAACACGGAACAAUUUCACAAACCCAGAAGGAACACACAUCAUCUGAAAAAGGGAGUGUGUUAAAGAUGAAGGAUAUACAAAGAACAAGUCAGAUAUUGCUUUGUUAGUUUGACAUUUCUUAGGCCACAUCUUUGACUUGAAAUAAAAUCAACUAAAUUCUAUCAGAGGAAAAAAUCGUCAGAAGACGAAUUUUAAUGUGAAGCUGUAACGUUUCAGAGAGAAGUCAAAUAGUAUAUUUAAGAAAAAAAUAUGUAUUUAUCAUUAAAAUUAAGGAAGACCCAUUUCAUUUACCCACUAGACUAAUUCAAAAUGUUGAAGUGGAUGAAGUUUGAGUUUGAUUCCCCUUCCUCUAAGCAGGAAAAAGUUAGUGGUAACACUAGUCUUAAUCACCGUGUAGAUAAUUAGUUCACUAAGCAUCUCCCUUCCAAGUUACACUUUCCUUUCCCAACUGAUAACGGGUCUUCCUUAAGAAAGUAAAGCAUCACUGCCAGAAACAAAGCAACCACCAGAUAUGCUUAAUUCUCUUAGUCUCUACACUAGUCAAACAAUCAAGGAAAUAAAACAAGCCAUCAACAAACCCAAUCCAGAACGCAGAUAUCCAGCAGAGCACAAGGAAGAAUACAAGAUCCGAAGCAUAAACUCGAGCAUUAAUUGAAUAGAGAUAAAACUUAAAAGCAAAAAAGUUAAUGAAUUUGGAUUCAGUUUUCGAAGAAACAACAUAGAGAGAGGACAGUACCGAGUGAUGAUGAAGAAGUGGAAUUGGAAGGAAGGUGAGAAACGUAAAUAGGAACAUUGUCGCCAAAAAGAGUACCAAAAUAAAAAGAUCCAACCAUAAGUAAGAGAGCGAGCAUUAUCAUCUGCCCUGACUGCAAAGCAAAAAAAUAACCCAAGCCAUAGGAACUGGCCAUUGUCUUCUUUCUUCCCUCCACAGAGCUUGGAUCUCGGAAACGAGCUGGAAAAUUGAAGAAUUCGUCAAGACCCAAAUGACAUUGCCAUUUGAGAGAGAGAUCGGAGUAGGAAUAGCUAUGAAUGUGGAAGUAAUUUGAAGCCUAAAGCUGAGAUUUCAGGAAGAGAAUAUUUUCAGUUUCGAUUCGAAGAUUUCACCGUUCGCUUUCACAAAUCUUCACUUCUUUAAUUUGUAGAGACGACAUACGUAUUCUCCUAAAAUAUUUAUAGUAAAUACUAAAUAAUUUGUUGAGAUACGUUUUUAAUUCUUUUUUUAAUUGUUCUUUUUUACUGUUGUAAAUAUUUUACCAAAUUCAAUAUUUUCUUAAUGAUAUACAAAUAAGGUUUAAAAUAUCAUAUUAUAACCCUCAAAUUUAUACAAAUUUGAUUAAACAUUAAUAAAACAUAUCUUUCAAUAUAUUAUAAAAACAAUUUUACCAUAUUUGAAAAAAAUUAGUCCAUGAUCCAUAAUUUGGAUUCCGACGUUUUUCUAUAACUUGACUUAUUAAAGUAAAAGUGUCUCUACAAACCAACACGAAUCUUUUUAUCAUACUUUGUCAUAACUCACAUAGAAUUAGUCAGAGUUCCUAUAAUCGAACUAUCGUACACCGAUUCAUUAAAAUCUCCCUCUUAAGCUUAGAACAUUAUAUACAUAUAAUAAGAUUCACGAUGUUUAGCAUUUAGAAAUUCAUCAUGAAGUAACAACUAUUUAUCAAAUAUAUUGAUAAGACAAACAACAAUAUCGUUUUAGUAUUAUCAAUAAACAAAAUCAUGAUAUUUUCGAUACCUUAGUAGUGUUUUAAAUACUAGCUUUGACAAUCUUAUCAAUUAAUUUUUUUUUGUGUAAUUUCUAACAAGAACCAACUAAAUAAGUUGCCAAUAUCAUAUCACACAAGUCCCAAUAAGAGAUAAACUUCAUUUUUAUCAUUAUAUUCACAAACAUGUCUUUCAAGAAUAAACAACAAAUUUAAACUCAGACAAAUGUAAUAAUUUAUUUACAAAUCUCCUAAAACAUUCACUUCAAUUUCUAUAAAAUAUAAAAAACAUUCCACAUAAAUUACCAUUUGCACACAACCCUUUGGGCAACUUUCCAAAUCAAAUGAUCCAUGUACAAGUUUUAGAAUGAAUUAUCCAUUAGCUUUUUAUGUUUCAACCUCAUGAAUGUUUAAUUCAUUUAUGUACGGUAUUCAUUCAAUAACUCAACAAUACCACUUUUCAAUCCCUAAACAUAAUUCCAAACAAUGGAUGGUUAAACAUAUAUGCUUUUUAAUUUGAUUUAAAGAGUAUUACUUUUUGUAUUAUGAUCAAUGAUAACUUUAUCUUUUUUUCUCUCUCUUUCGUUCGUAGAUAACAACCUAACAAGCAACGUACACAAACUAGCCAAAAGGAGGGUAAAACUAUUAAGGAUAAAGACAGCCUAAAUGAUUAUAGACUUUCGAACUUCUAGUAUUUAAUGUGCUAUACAGUGGCCCAAUUAAUUCUAAUUAUGAUGACAAUGAAAAAAAACCAAUAAUUCUCACUUUGUUCCUUGACUAAUCUCAUGAGACAACCCGUUUAACCCUACAACAUUUGAGUAUAUAUUAAGAAAAGUUGUAGAAAAUUAAUUAUUUGGUAGGUGGCCUCCAUGAAUUGAACACAUGACUCAAAACAAUCAAAUUCAACCAAAAUAUUUGAGAUUGAUAGGAAAAAACAAACCGAACUCUGAUAGAGCAUAUCAUCAUUCAUUUAAGAACCUUCACGUCAUGAAUAAACUUGAAACAUGCAUUACAAACUUAUCCUAGAUGGGCUUGAAGCACUCAACCAAGACCUCCCGAGUCCGAAUCGAAAGAAGAAGAAGAAGAUGGCAAAGUAACAUAUGUGCUCAACUUUCAACAAGGAACCCGAAGAGAAUGCCAACCAAUCAUGGGAGUGUAUUGUUAAUUGGAAUCAUCUACUUAGCUUUGGCAUAUCGUGUCAAAACUCUACAAUACAUUUACCAAUCAAAACACUAAAUAGGGUUGGAAUUAAUCAAGUAGAUCUUUGAGAAAACAUCACUCACGUAAACACUCUACAAAAUCUAAAAGAGAAAAACAAAAAGAAGAGGAAAGAAGAUAAAAACGAAUGAAAUUGAAAUUAGGAGAGAUGGAUGAGCCAAAGAAAGACUAGUUACUACAUUAUGCUUCUAAACUUGUAAAGAUAAAUAAUACUCCAGCUUGUUUGGGCAGAAGGGACGGCGGUCGGUUUCUCGGGUCGUCUGGAACACCUUUCAGAAACAAAACCAGGUUUUCCCAAUUCGUAGCGUCGUUUCUCAUCGCCGGUUCCGCCAUAUUCAAAUUUCUCUCCAAUUCCGACAGGCAAUUGAUCAAUUACAGGAAAGCUUUCGAAAUUUGAAACUUCCGGCGAUGCCGACUUCUACUGCAGGAAUUGCAGGUUCAGGAGAUUCGUCCAAUACUAUAAUUGGUUCUAGUGCUGAAGAUAAAUCCCUCAAGGAAUCAGCUGCUGCUCAAUCUCAAUAUCGUGCUCAAAAUGAAGUGCAAGAACUUGAAAAGUCUAGCAAACAACUUUAUCCUUGCCAACCGGGAGAAGCUCAGGGUGCUGUGGCAAUACCUGCUGAUCAAGAGACAAACCGAAGUUCCGGGAACGAUCAGAACAUUGUUCCCCAUCAUGGUACGUUUAACAACAUUGCUGUCUCAUCUUCUAGCAACUUCAGGUCGAAUGUUGACGAUGCGAGAGACAUUGACAUUGCUGUUCAGGAUGCCGUGUUAAGGGAACAGGUAUGCACGAAUAUAUUUCAGUUUUUCAAAUUCCUUAAAAAAAAAUCAGCUUAGUUUUGAAUACUAUAAUGUGAUGACGCCUCCAUGUUCUGUUUCACAUUUAAUGGAAGUUUUGGUUAAUCGUCUUUUAAGUUUUUGUUUGCAUUGGUGCUCCCCUUUCAUCGUAUCCGUUCUGAUGGGGACUAAUUUUAUGGUUUUUUAGAGUUCAGAGACUAGAUUUCUAUAUUUUCAAGUUUCUCAAUCUAUACACCCCUAUUAUGAUGAUAAAUGAUAUGGACGGAAUGGUGAGAAAUUUCUUUUGGAAGGGGGAGUCUUUCAGACGGGUAGUCAAUUGACUAAAUAGAGCUGAACUUUUCUGCCUCUUCAAUAUGGGGGUCUUGGGCUGUCUGCAGCAAAGGAACAAGGCCAUGCUCCUUAAAUGGCUUUGGUGCUUCAUCUACGAAGAAACUGCCUCGCAGAGAGUUGUGAUUGCCUACGAAGAAACUCCCCUGUGCAGAGUUGCGAUUGCAAGCAUAUUGGUCUUUGGUGUGGGCUGUCUUGUCUCGAUGAGUGACAAUUAGAUUGAGGGUUGAGAUUGAUAGUGCUUAUUUGUCCGUAUGGAAUUGUAUUUUCAUUAUGAUUGAUACGCGGUAGUAGAGGCUUUAAAGGAAGUAACUGAAACUAUUUCAACGUGCAACCCAUUCCUUGUUGACUAAGAUGAUCUGUGUUGAGCUUGACUUGUAUGGUGAAACAAAGGCUGGGCGUGGUUGUUAAGAAUCUCUAUUGGCACUUGUAGAGGCAGAAUCCUUUUCUUUUGCAUGCAUGGCUAAAGGUUAGUUUAGGUAUGGAAUUCUUAUUAAUUUUUGCAGGAGUCCUUUGCAUGAUCAAAACAUUAGUGCUUUGGAACAGAUUGGGAGAGCUUGCAGGGAUAAUUGCUAUGAAAACAUUAAGGAAUUUAAACCGUAUUGGAACCUCCAUUGAGGUUGAGAACAAUUACUGUGGCUUUAUCCUCGCUGAAAAGUAGCAUAAUGACAUAAUUCGGAAGUUAUUCUAUGGUUAGCGUAGGGGAAUUGUGUGUGUGGUGGGGGAACCCUAAACACUCAUCUUAUAGAUUAAAAAUAUUACUUGCAACUUGUUUUUUUUUAUAGAAUUGACAUGUUGCUGUUUGUGUCCACUGUCCGGUGUCCACGUCUAUGCUUUCUAAUUGGUAGAUUUUGUUGGAGGGAAACAAUGUUUCCAAUACGAAGAGGAAGUUGCACCUAUCUGGGGAUUUUGGUUCUCUUUCAGCUUCCUGAUGGUGCCUCAAGUCUCCCAUACAUUGACAUUGGAGAGAAUUAUAUAUUUAUUUUAUUUCUUCUUGAAAUUUCUUUAGCUCUCCAUUUGUAAUUUUAUUCAUAAGCAAGACACUGUUUCUUAUCUAUGUAACUAAAUUAUUUUAGUUUUCAAACACUUUAAUUAGUUUUUUUUUCCCCUAACAGGAACUUGCUACCCAAAAUAUUAUUCGUAGCCAAAGGUGAUGGUUCUUCAUUUGUUUUUGAGUUAUUACAGUUCAGAUUGAUAAUGAAAACUAAAUAUGUUACCAUCCCCAGAGAUUCCGUGGGUGCAGAUGGACUUCCGGUUGAGCGAUCAGAUAUCUUUUCAGAACGUUAUGACCCGAGUUCUCUUAAAGUAUGUGACUUUCUACCUUUAUACAACUUUUGUUCAUAAAUUUUCUUUAGAAUGUAGAAUAGCCGCAUGCUUACACCCAUCAAUAGAUUUAGUUGUAUGUCAUCACUGCCUCCAUGGUCCCUAUUUAUCUACUUUCAUGAGAAAUAAAUGUCUUAUGUCAAGUUUAUGUAGAUACGAAAAGAGGAACUAGGUUUUGUAUUACAAUUUGAGAACAAUAUUGCACUUUGAUGUUUAUUUUAACAAGCCCAUUUAUAUGAGAACUUGAAGAAAAAAAUUCAUUAGUUAAGGCAGUUAGUUUAACAACUAAAAGGAAACCAAUCCUUAAGUAACUAACCUAACAAAAAGAAAGCGUAAUACACAUAGUAUGUGUAACGUCUGCGUUUAGGAUGGGUACACGUACAUGAAUGACAUGAUAUCGCAUUUGAAUGAGAGUAUGGUUAAAAGUUGUGAAAGUAUGGUUAAGAAUGACUUAAAAGAAUUUAAAGAUAUUAUCUAUACCAACAAGGUGCACCAUCCUUUUGGGUGACUCAAUUAUAGGAACUCAUCCUAGGAAUUUUUCUGGGAAGCAUGUGAGUGAGGACAAAACAUGUUAUAAAGACUCGUGUAAUUGUGUUGGUUUGAUGUAAUAGUCUUCACGCUUGAAAGGAGUUUAAGAUGAGCAAAGAUGAUGUUGCUAGGUCGUAGGGGAUGCAGAAGAAUGUUGGGGCCAUCAUGUGGCGAAUAUGGAUUUCAAAGCUUAGGUUUGCGGCGUUACAGAUGGUAUUAGAGUGGAACCUCUCUUAGUAAAAUGUGGUUUGAGGACGUUAUAGAAAAACUAUUCUAGUGUAGUAUCUAACUACUAGCCUUCUUUUCUGAAUUUAACUUGCCUUCAAGAUUCUUGUCUUCGAAUGAAGCUCAUCUUGGAUCAUGUGGGGAGUUAAAAAAAGAUCAUGUGGGCAUUGGAUACUCUGUCGUAAGAUUGGUUGUAUACUUCUUGAGCAUUUAUCUUAUUGAAAAACUUCUUAAGCAUUAACGCAUGUUAGAAAAUAUUCUUUGUUUUGAAGUGCAACAAACAUGCCUUAACAGAUUAAUAACCUAAAACAUGAGGACUAUUCCCUCCAGCCAAUGACUGUAAAAUUUAACCAGCUAUUAUUGGCUAGUUUACAAAGAAGUCCCACAUCAAUUUCAUGCAUGUUGUCAGUCCUGCCAUUAGAAAAAUUACCAUCAAGUACUGCAACCACUUUCCUAUUCCUAGACUAUCGGAUUUGUUAGAAUAACUAUUUGGAUCCACAAUCUUUUUAAUGAUAAAUCCUUUGCCUCAGCCUGCUAGAGGUGUGAUUUGUUCAACUUUUGGCUGGUCCCUUGCAUUAUCUGAAGAUCCUUUCGUUCUGAUUGCCCUGAUACUUGUCGCCAUUGUCGGUUACCCAUUCAAGGAGGGAGAACAAGAUCAUUUAUCUCAACUUUUCUAGAGCCUUUUAUGGUCUCUGUGGAGGAAUAAACAUAAUUCUUAAGUCUUUAAGGACAAUGACUGAUGGUUCAGCAACGCUUUUGAUUCUCCAUCCUUUUUCAGCUCCCACAUGGUGUAAAUUAGUACCCACCUUUUCUGAUACAAUCUCUUCUCUUGUAGCUCAAAAACUUUUUUUAACUUUUCUUUAGGGUAGGAUCCCUCCCCUUUUUUAUAAUCUCAUCUCAUAAAUACAAUGUUGCUUAUCCAAAGAUAAAAAGGGAGUUACUAUAAUUAUCAUUAUAAAAGAGGAGGUAACUCGGGGAAAGAUGAACCAAAAACGCACAGCCAAAAAUGUGAUGAGAAGGGAUUAUUUAAAUCCUCCCUAAUACCUUACAUCAGAAUCGUUCCUAAUUACCCAUUGUGAGACCAUGGACAUCUGCUUUGCUCUCUUGUUUUUGUUUAUAUUGCAUGACACUGUUAUACAGACAAAGGCUUAUUAUUUGUUAUCAUGUUUUGUAGCUUUAAUUUUUUUUUCUUUAUGCCUUUUAUCUCAGGAGCAUCUUUUGAAGAUUACUUCUGAACAUCGUGCAGAAAUGGCUAUAAAAAGGGGAAAGUUGAAUCUUCCAGAAGAAGGUCGGUACUUUGUGAUAUGGCUUCCUCUUCCUAUUGAUGUUUUUCUCUUCACUUGAUCUUCUUGUGGUGCAAUAGUAGAUGCUUAAGUACUCUAAGGUGAAGAUAUCAAUUGUUGGAUGAAAAGGGUUUAUAGUACAAUUACACAUUGUUAGAGAUAUGUAUGGAAGUGCUUAGGGCUAUGCAAGGAAGAAAUUUCCUUUUAGAGUAUUUGGGUCAACUUAUAAGUAUAAACUAUUCUCAUGGGACAGAUUGUUGGAUGCUACAUCAUGCAGUUUUUGAGGAACACUAGGAUUUUUUUCUCUAAUUGUAGAUAGGUGGCCACUUUGGGACUUGAACCCUUGCCUCAAAGUCCCCAAGUUCUUCAUGAGGCCCUUUACCUCUUUGUAACUCUCAUUAUUGGACCAAGUCGGGUCGAUCUGAGUGAGAAAGGUAAGGCCCAAGAUUGGUUGAACCUCCAAAAUCCUAUUUGAGGGCCUUGCUUAUGCUGACUUAUUCCAUCAAAAUUUGUAUGGGGUUUGGGUUGACCCAUUGGAUGAUUAACUUUUAAAAAUUACUGUGUUGGAAUUUUCUUAAACAAAAUUGUACUGUAACCAUAGGUUAGGUUUCAUUGUACUUAACUAGGGUUCAUCCCUUUAGUGGUACCUCCUUUUUGUUGGCUUAUUUUUUCUAAUGCUCUUGUAUUCUUUCAUCAUUUCUCAAUGAAAAUUAAUGAAAAUUUGGUUCUUUAUAUGAGAAAAAACAAAUUAUAUUAAAACUUGUGAUUUAUAUUUUGUUAUAGAAGAUGCCGACAAUUCUGUGCAUGAGAACAAGUGAAGAAAGGAUUGGUUCUUAUCCUCCUUAUUUUUCCUCGUGCACCUCAAGGAAACAAGUCCCUCGAACACCUCAAGGAAAAAGGCAACAAAAAGGCCAUAUUUGAGUGGAGCCAGGUGCAAUGAAUAGAUAAAUAAAUAAAUAAAAUAUUUAGGUUGCAUGGCUUUGUUGGGCCUAGAUGGUGGGUUAUAACGUUAUAAGCAUAUUUGUUAAAUAAAAUAAGAAAAAGAAACAGAACACCCUAUUAUUUUAAUCAGGGGCCUUGGACUAAGCUAAACAGUCAAAGGUGCAUAGGGCUAGUGCCCAACUGAAAAAUCGCUUGCCCCACUUUCUUUUUCAAUCAUGGGAGAGAGUUUCUUGGUAGGUCAACUUCUUGUAGAUCUUUUAUAAUAGGGAAAGUGAGCACAAUUCAAUUGACAUUAAAAUUUGGUAUCAACCUGAAUGUCAAAGGUCUGAAUCCCCCACCUUCUUGUUGAGCUUUCGACCUUCUGUAACAAUUUGCUCAAGUGUAACAUGGAAUGUUUUUAGGACAGAUGGAUACUGUUGGAAAAUGAUCACAAUGUUGUGUGCUUGAAUUCUUCCUCUUAGGUUUCAACUUCUCUCUUUCAAAAAAUUUCCAUUAUACUGUUUAUUGCAAAUUGGGAUUUCACUUGUUUUUCUUCUUUUUUUUUUUCCUCUUUUGUGUUUGUGGCUUGCAACUCUUAUUCUUGUUUUGUGCAACUUCCUUGUAAUUAUAAUUAUACUUUAACUACUAUAAACGCCAAGUGGGUACCAUUUUUUCUUUUUUUAACUCGGCUUUUUAAUGUAAUUUCAAUACUGUUAAACAAAUUGUCCUCUAUAUCUAGAACAAAAUAUUUUAUGGCCUUUUACAAUUAAAUUUUUUGUAGCACAGAGACCACUUUGAAAGAAUUAAUAAAAUCAGCAGAUAUGUGCCUACUUCUCUAGAUUGUUAUUCUAUAUUGGAGAUUCCAACAAACUCAAACAUAUAAUCUUCCUUUUCCCUUUCAAGGAGAAUGACAUCUUGUUGUCAUGUCAGGGAACUUGGAAAUUGGAAAUGGAUACGGAGUACCUGGUGGAUGUGCUUUCUAUGGUGCUUCAAAGCCUGGAAUUGUUGCCAAUGGUUUAAAACUUAAACCUUUUUCCUUUUGCUUGAUUUUGAUGUUGAUUUCCAGUUGGUUCAUUUGUCCUGCUUUCAGGAAAUAAUGUGACUGGCCAGAAAAUCCAGGGACAGAUCAAGGAAGCAGAACAAAGUUCUGCUUCCAAGGCAUUGCCCGAGUACCUCAAGCAGAAGCUAAGAGCUAGGGGUAUUCUUAAAGAAGAUGCAGAACACAGCAAUUCUGUAAGGGCUGAUGUGCGUAACUUCCUAAAACAUGUCUUGGCAGGACGCCUUAGUUUUAUUAUUUAGCCACAGACCUAUUUGAUCCAUUUAAACCAAUAUUUACUCUUUUCUCGCUGAUGGGGAAACACUUCAAUUUUUUCUCUUUUCUUAUCUUUAAAAAGCAGAUUUACAAAGAAAAGCUUGUGCACCUAAAUUUUGUUCAGAUUUAUAAAUAUCCUUUUGUUUCAAUUUUGAGAUUUCUAGAAUUUGUGUACUUCUGAUAGCAAUCAUAGUUCCAUGGUUCUGCUGAUAUUCUUUAUUCAAUUGCUUCUCUCUUAAAUUACAGACAAAUUCUGACGCUGUUUCAAACACAAAGUUGCAAGGAGAAAAGCUGCCUCAUGGAUGGGUGUGUACUGUUUGCAAUUCCUUUACCAAUUGUGUGCAGUGCUCUCUUUCUCUAUCAAGCUUGUUAGAAUUGCCUAUUGCAACUUGGGAAGGUUAUUUUGUUUGAUAGCUGAGCUGAUUAGGUGGCCUUAGUUUACAUUAUUUUUUAAAUAUUUCCAAUAAGUAGGAAUUUAACAUGCUUAACUAUUUAUUCUGUGGGGUAAUAAAAAAGUAUAUUAAAUCUACUUAGUUAUAAUAUAUCAUACAUUUAUAUAUUACUAGUGUGGUGUUUACUAAAACAGUUAAGUUUGUGAAGUGAACGAGUUUUGUCAGAAUAAUUACGGAAGGUCAUUUUCCUAAGUGUGAGUGAGUAGACCUAGUAUCCACUUUGCGGGAACUUUAUUAUGGAGUUGAAGCGGCCCUUACUGUGUUAGGGACUUGGGGAUUUUAUUUUUGUAAUUCUUUUGAGUCAUUUAAGGUUGUUGGCAACCUCUGGAUUUUGGGUAGCAAAAACAUUAUCAACUCUGGAUGUGAGUAUUGUACUUUCUUUUCAAACAUAAUUUCUAUUUGAUUCUAAGGUUUCCAAAACUAAUACUUUUGGUUCUUAAGAUUUGAAUUUGGUUGUUAUUUGAUUUUUGAGGUUAUAAAAUUGACAUGUCUAGUUUUUUAUAUCUAAAUUUGAUUUCUAGUUAAUCCCUGAAGUUUGAAAUUGGUUUUUAAUACCCAAGUAUAAAAAAUAAUUCCAGCAAUGUCUAGUUAGCAUAUUGUAACUGAACUGAUGUAUUCUGUUAUAUCAACUAGCAGACAAUUAUAUUUAGGGACCAUUUAGGAACCUAUUUCAAACCUUAGGAACCAAUUAUAUCAAAUUUAAACAUAGGAAUUAAAUAUGUUGCUUUUGAAAUCUCAAGGACCAAUUACAAACCAAAUUCAAAUAUCAAGGAUCAAAAGUUCUAGCUUUAAAAACCCAUUGACCAAACAGAAACUUAGUAUCCAGGGACCAAAAGUAAGUUUUUCUCCCUCAAAAAAAAAAAAAAAAAAGAACGAUUCUAAGAAGUUUCAAUAAAAUAUGAAGAUGUGUUGUGAUGUUUCUUGUUUUUGGAAGUUUGUCCUUAGGCCUCCAUUUUAUAAACUUGUAUGCUUCUCUGCAUAGGUGGAGGCUAAAGACCCUCACAGUGGUGUUUCAUAUUAUUAUAAUGAAAGUAGUGGAAAGAGUCAAUGGGAAAGGCCCUCCGAACUUUCUUCUAAUACGCAACUUUCAUCAGCUGUAUCCCUUCCAGAAGAUUGGAUGGAGGCAAUCGAUCAAACAUCAGGUCGGUAAGAGAUUUAAUGAUUUAUGAUGCUGAUAUACCUUCUUCCAUGCAUAAUUUGGAGGAGAAAAGAUAAGAAAUCUGGAGGAAUUACAGCACGAUAAUCCUUGUUGUUUCAGUUUUACCAUACUUUUUCUCAAUGCAUUUAUACAUUUCUGGUUUCCCCUGUCCUGCAUCCCUACCUUUUCUACGAGUCAUUGAUGUGGAGACUGUAGAGUCUAGAGGUUGAAGGCUAGAGUAAUUGGCUUGAAUUGCGUGGAAACUUUUGUAUUUGGCAUCUCAUGAACCUUCUUUAUAAAUUUUGCAAGCCUUGAAAAUGGAAUUAUCCGUUGAGGGACGCUUAUGUCGUGCCUUUAUUAUGUUGUUCUAGUUGUAAUUGGUGGUUUUCCCAACUUCAAUGGAGAAGUGUUCAGAAAAAAGUUGCUGAAUAACAUAAUUUGCAGUUUUGCUCCCAUUGACAAAUUUUCAUACGACCGCAGGCGUAAAAUACUACUACAAUAUGAGAACCCAUGUAACCCAGUGGGAGCGGCCUGUUGCAUCUCAUCAGACAACUUUGACACACUCGAAUGAUAAGUUUCCUGGGCCUUGGAACGACCAAACUUUGGAGCAAAGUAAAUGCAUCACAUGUGGAAGUGGAAUGACCCUCGUGCAGGGUUCAAGAUACUGCAACAGUUGUACAAGGUAAAUGAGAUAGUCUAUAUAUCUAUGCUAAGAAAAUGAAGGUCUUUUCAUUAAGAGACUGGAAAGUACAAGAGAGGAUGCAUACGAGUGAACAAACUUGAUUAAAAGAGAUAUUGCAAUACGUACGGAAAUUUGAGUCCCCCACUCUCCCCUCCCACUAGACUACUCUAAUCUAGUUGGAGGAGUUACAUUUUUGUUAGGCAAAUCGGUUUGCCAUUUUUAUGAUGAAGCCUCUGCAUUAUGUUGUAAGGCAGUUGUUAGUAUUCAGCAAAACCUGAAGCUGGGUUUUUCUUCUAAAGUCAUAUAACCUGCCUCUGUAAGGAUGCCUUGGUGAGCAUUAGUAAGCAUAAAGUUUUGUAGAUUCUUCUGCCUUCAAAUGAGGCUGCAGUAACAUAUCUAAUUUCUAGAAAAAUGUGGGCUCUUCUUCCUUGAUCGGAUUUCCUUCAAGUUUCAGAGUUGCUGUCCAAACAACUUGAUUUCUGAUUUGUGGGAAUAUUUGAGCCAUUCUUGGAAAAAUUACAUUGAGGAGACAUUUGAAGGAUAACGAGAUUAUGCAUUUUUAGUGACCUAAUUUUACUCUUGGAAGAGGUUCAUUUAGCCCGUGGGAUGAUAAAAGAAGUACUGCUGCUUGGUCAUAUGGAGUCCACAAUCAAAUCCCUAAUUAGUAAGCUGUUUGGAAAUCCCAAUGUCCUCUUCCUUGUUUAAAGCUUGUCGUAAAUCCAAAUUUUCAAAGAAAAUCAGCUUCUUUUGUGAUUUUUUAAUGGUCGGACAUCAGAGAAAGCUUGCUUUCAUUGUAUGAUCCCCCUGGCUUGCCCCUUUGUGGUUUCUGGACUUAGAAGACCAGAAGCACUUUUCAUUGUGGGUUUAUUGUUAAAAGGUGGGGGGAAAGCCUCUAUUUUAUUUUCAAUUUUAUCAUUAAAUAUUUUCCAUCUCUCUACUAAAUGCUAUACUACUCGUCAGCCUCUUUUAGAUUCUGACUAAGAGCCCACAGAUACAUCUUACUCAUCCAUCAAGAACAUCCUCCUCCCCUCACCUCACAUUUCCUCUCAUACAUGAUACUUGUUUAUUAGACACAAUUUACUGCUCAACAAGAUGGGCACCCACUAACUGUUUUCUUACUGCAAUUUUAUCUGGAUAAAUUCUCACACUUCGUUCUUCAUUGCAUUGGUUUUGUGUCUAAAUUGACUAGUGGGGUUUCUACAAGUUCAACCAAUGGGAUUUGGCAGGAUCAACCGUCUGAGCAAAAUAAAUGCAUGGGAUGUGGUGGCUGGGGACUAGGCCUUGUGCAAGCUUGGGGUUACUGUAUUCAUUGCACACGGUAUGUUGAUCACUCUUAUUAUUCAGCACUAUCAUGUAGCAUAUCAUUGUAUUUGGUAUGAUUGUUUGUGACUAUGUAUGAACUGAUGUGUGGAUGAAGGUAGUUAGGGUUAGAAGUUCAUUAGCUAGACUGCUUGAGUGAUGCAAUUAUUUUAAUUUAAAAUCCUAGUUGUUUCUAUGACACGUUUACAGUUUUUCAGCCAUUACUCUCGAUAAAUUCAUACAAAUAUUUUUUUUUCCUCAUGGAUUAUGUAUUCGCUUUUGUUUUACCCUCUUUUUAUUAUUAUUAAUAUUAUUUUUUAUUUAUUUAUUCACAACGACUUUCAGAAUUCUCGGUCUCCCCCAGUGCCAGUACUUGCCAACCAACAACAUUAGUAAUCAGCAGAAGAUAGAGAACGUCAAGCAUAGCGCUGAUCCCUCCAUUAAAAAAUCUGUGACAGAUAGGUAAAGAAACAGUCCUCUGACUUCGGACUUAGUUAAGUCGAGAAAUAGGGGAGGAUUAAGUUAUGAAGCUAAUGAGUAUCGGUUGUCAGGUCCAAAUGGAAACCUCCAAUAGGGAAAGGUGGAAAGCGAGAAAGUAGGAAGCGUUCCUACAGUGAGGAUGAUGAAUUAGAUCCAAUGGAUCCUAGCUCUUAUUCAGAUGCUCCUCGUGGUGGCUGGUAUGUCUUCAAAAAUUAGCUCUCUAGGUUGAAUACUAGUUGAUUAUUUAGGCCUCAUUUGACAAAGGUUUUAGUUUUAGUUUUUUGUGCCUAUUUUCUUCCAUUUGUUUAUAAUAGUUUUCAUCUUUCGUAAGAAAUUAUUUAAAUUGCUAUUCAAUUAAGCAAUUGAAAUCAUCGUAAGGAAAUAUCUAAAUUAGCUCUCUGGGUUUAAUUGCUAUUCAAGUUUUUUUAAUAACUAUAUUUUUAAAAUUUCAAGACUUGGCUUGGAUGUUGAAAUCAUCCUUAAAUAAUAGAUAACAAAACAAAGAAAUUCAUAGGAUAGUAGCUGCUUUUAUAAACUUAACAACUAAAAGUCGAAGGGUUAUCAAAUGGGUCUUAGAAAAUCUGUCCAAGAAGUAGAAUGAUAUUAAUUGUUUGUUUUGAUUACUUUUCAGGGUUGUGGGUCUAAAAGGUGUGCAGCCUCGGGCAGCAGAUACUACUGCUACAGUAAGUAGUAACUAAUCAUUUUAGAUUUUUAGCUGUUUGCUGUUGCAACCGUCUCACCUUAUAAUGGGCAAUUAUCAUUUCAUGUAUAGACAUGUUAUGUAGUUUCACAUAUACAAUUUAAAACAUUUCCUUCACAAUGGGCCUUGGUUUUAGUCUGUUUGAUGUAAUGUGCUGACUCUAGCGUCUGCAGUGAACUCUUGACACUGAUUAGAACAGGGGCUGUUCUCUUGUUCCUUAAUCCAAUCCUCAUUGUGUUGGAUCUCAUUUAAAAUAUUUUUUUUCUUAUUAAAUCGAAAUAACUUCUAAUUGGAUAAUAUAUACUUCCUCUCAUCGAUGGUGAAUGGCAGGGUCCUCUCUUUCAACAGCGGCCAUAUCCAUCACCUGGAGCUGUUCUGAGGAAGAAUGCUGAAAUUGCUUCACAGACCAAGAAGGGAAGCUCUCACUAUGCACCCAUUUCCAAGAGGGGAGAUGGAAGCGAUGGCCUUGGUGAUGCUGAUUGAUCUCUUCUAAUUUAUUCUGCUCCGACGAUACAGUGACCACUAUUUAUGUAGUGUAGAAGUACACUUUUCACUGGAGAUGCGACAUAUAUCUUUGACCGUAUAGCCUUACCUGAAGUUAUGGAUCAAAUGCACAUCUCACUUUCUGAAGGAGAGGAACGUGGCUGUACGAUGGUACGUUUCUUGUAUAUAUACUAAUUACUAUACUUCUAUAUGGAAAACUUGAGUCGUGGACAAAACGGUCAAUGAGGCAGAUUUUUAACCUUCACAUAUGUACCAGAAGAUUUGAAUUACUAGACAGGAGUAGAAAAUUCAAACUUAUUGUAUUUUGUUAAAAUGUUACAAUAAUUUAACUUAACGUCGACUAUACGAGACAAGCUUAGAAGUUUAUUAAUCCUACAAUUAUGCAAACUCUAAGUUUACCUUUCAUACUACUUCGAUAACUUUUGAUUUUAUAUUUCAUUUUUACUUUUGUACAUUAUAAUUUCACAAGUUAAACACUGUUAUUCAAACUUGAGGUUAUCGAUUCUGAAUUUUAUAAUUUAGAUGAAUUAAGUUGGUAAUAUGAAAAGAGAUCUCGGUGUUACACCGCCUUGUUGGGUUGCUUUUGGAUGGUUCCCUGGGAGUUCAGCCAAAGUGAGAUGGCAUUAGUUGUUUGUUGCUGAUGGAGAAUCAAUAUUUCAAAUAGAAAUAAGGAGUACAGUAUUUCUUUCUUUACUAUAUGAUAAUGGCAUGUGAUUACAUUGGUCUCAUCUGUUUGUUUACUUUCCAUAUUAGCUUAUUAUUGGGACCAGCUGUCUUACUAUAGAUUGAUCAUCAAUGUGAUGAUGUGUAUGUUGGUUACCUAUCUUUUCAAAUCCUCAAGUCAAUAUAGUAAAAUGACUUAUUACAUUACAUGAAUUGGAUUAUCAAUUUUAGCUGAUUACAUACCUCCUUAACACCAAUGAAGAUACUUAAACUAGAGAUUUCUAUGGGCCACGAUGGAAGACUUCCACAUUCUCGACCCCAUCAUAUUUCAAUCUUCAUCCUAUGAAUUGUUUUUCAAUAAUUUUGAGGAAAGUGAAGAUCUUUGCGAGGAAAUUAAACAUAUCAUCUUAUUUCUUUCUUUCUUUUACUUUCAAUCGAAAUAUAUAGUUUUUUUUUUUAAUUCUUUAAAUUGAGCAUUUUUAAUAUUAUUUCUAUUCAAAUAAUGCAAUAUAAACUUUUCUAAUAAAAACAAUAAUUAAAAUGUUAAAUUUCCAUAAUGUCAAAAAAGUUGAAUGCUGAAUUAUUACUACUUUACAGUUUUUCAACUUAAAUAUUACAAAAUUAUUGUUUUAGAGGUAAGUACGUUAUAAUUAUCCUAGAAAAUAUCUAUAUAAUUAAACAAAGGCAAAAACAUACAAUUAUCCUAGAAAAAAAAUAUAUAAACAAGGAAAAGGCAAAAUAAUUUGUUGUAAUUCAUAUCUCUUCCAUGAAAGGAAGAUAGAAGAAGUUGGUCGAUUAAAAAAAAAAAAGAAGAAGAAGAAGAAGAAAAGAAGAAAGAAAGAAGGGAACAAAUGUAAAAUAAGGUGAAUUUGAAUGAUAAUAAAAAAAUAAAAGAAGUUCAAAGAUAAGUAAAAAAUAAAAAUAAAAAAUUAAACUAUUAGUAAAAUAUAGACAACAAAAUAAGUUAUGUGAAAAUAAUAUCUAUUUAAACUGAAUUUUAAAAAACAAAAAUAGUAUUUGAGUGUAAAAAAGAUCAAAAUUUGAGUGAGAAAUGAGUAAAAAGUGAAAAUGAUAGCAUUAGAAAAAGAAGAAGAAGAAAUAAACAUAAAAAAUAGAAAAGUGAAAACAAAAAUGAUAUAGAAAACAUCCCAAAAACUUUUUGUAAUGGAAAAACGUGUCCUUCAAAUACCAAAGUGUUGGAUUUAUUGAAAGUCCAGCUUCGUGCUUCUUCUCUACACUCAAAAGGAUAGAGAAAACCCAAAAAAAAAAGAAAGAAAACUUUGGGAAUAAAUUCCAUUUUCUUCACUCUCCAUCUCCAUCUUCAUCAUCCCCCAUCUUUAGGGUUCCCUUCCCAUCUUCUUCCUUCUCUUUACCAUCACUUCACAUUCACAAAGGUGCGUUUUUUUUUUUUUCCCAUUUCAAUUUCUUGCUUUCUGUACUUCUCUAUUCCCUCUGUUUCUCCAUUCUUCACUGUGUUCCAUUGCCCGCUUUCCACUUUUUAUCUGAUGGGGCUCAUUCUGUUUUACAUUUUAAUUUAAUUGUUCUCAAGGUGUAGCCAAUGCUUGCAAAUUUAAGUUGAAUUUCCUGUUAAUUUCUGAUUUUGAUUCUCUUUUUUUUCUUUCUUUCUUUUGACUUGAUGUUGUUUCAACUAACUUCAUUGACUUAUUUAUUCGUUUGUUGAAGUGGGAAAAUUGAUUCCUGAAGUUGGUUUCACUUUUAUGGUUUGAUAGUGCUAUUUUUCAUACUUGAACAGUGUCACUGGAUCUAGGAUCGAUAUGUGUCUCAUAUGGUACAAACCCAUUUCUAUGCUAUUGUUGGAGUAUUGAUAUGAUUAAAUUUAACAUAAUCCAUUAGCUCUAGUGUUUGGAUUGAUGGAUGUCAUUUUUUCCUCAAUUAAUUCUGAUUUCUAUGUUGGAUCUAGUGAAGCAGUGUUGAAGUAUUGGUAUAAUUAAAUUUACUAUAACCCAUUAACUUAAGCUUUUGGAUUUAUUAGUGAUUUAAAAAUUAAGAUCUAAAAUGAUAAUGAUUCAUAUUGCUACUUUGGUGAUUAUCUUAGAGAAGUAUGCUUUGCUUAAGUUCUUGGACUGAUACUCCUUGGAAUUACCGAAUGGAAAAUCAGACAUUUUCUAGAGCUUGAUUUUAUUACGAACUAUUACUCCAAUGUUCCAAAGCAUUUUUGAGGUGAAGUUGUUCUUACACUAGCCUAUCCAACCAAUAGGAUGCUCUCUCGCACAUUGAACUUCCAAAUGCUUCUUCAAGCCCCAGAAAAUGUACUCUUACUGAUAUAUAUUCCUAGAUAUGUGGAUGUGCAUCAUCCAUUACAUAUUCAUGAUCGAAAUAGAAGCAAUUUGGGUUUGAAAUGUUUAAACUGCAGCUCUUUUGAAACCAUCAUUGGCGGCCUAGUGGUAAAUAAAAAUCUUGGGUUUGAUGAAUGACUUAAGAGGUUAAUUGAUCUAAUCUAGAAUCUGUUAUUUCAGAGCAGAGUUCUCAAACUUUUGCAUCUUGUGAUAAAUGAAACAUGCAUAUGAUGUGAAAGUACUUAUUUUGUGCUGAUUAAUUAAAUCCAGAAGUAAAAGGACAAAAGUCACCCAAGUGUUUUCUUUGUCAGCUGAGUACAUAACUCAGGCUUGAGAUUAUUAAACUUGAAAGUGACAAGAUUUAUAUGUAGCAAGCUAACAAUUCAAUACGUAAAGAAUGAGGUAUUUCACGGUUGAGACUUGCAGGGAAGAGAAGAAGGAUGUCGACUGCAAACACCCAUUGGUGUUACAGAUGCGAACAGCCAGUUCGACUUCGUGGGCGAGACAUGACUUGCCUUAGCUGUAAUGGAGGAUUUGUUCAAGAACUGGAUGAAAUGAUGGAAAGAAGUCCCCUUGAUUUAUUUGGAGCCAGUGGUAAUGAAUACCAAAACCGCAGGCUAGGACUCUUGGAGCUUUUCUCAAACUUUAUGAGGCAACGAUUGGUAGACAGAAAUGAUAUCAGGGGAAGGUUGGACUCAAUUCCAGAUCAUGGUCCAGGAUUUGGUCCUUGGUUGAUCUUUGGUGGCCAAAUUCCUGUUAGAUUGUCUGGACAUGGUGGAUUUGAAGCGUUUUUUAAUGGGGUACCUGGCAUUGGUGUGAGUAGGAGCAAUGGUGGUGAUUAUUUUAUUGGUCCUGGACUUGAAGAAUUGUUUGAGCAGCUUUCAGCAAACGAUCGACGAGGGCCACCACCGGCAUCAAGAUCUUCGAUUGAUGCAAUGCCUGUUGUUAAAAUUACACAAAGACACAUUCGUUCCAAUUCACACUGUCCUGUCUGCCAAGAUAAAUUUGAAUUAGGAUCUGAGGCUAGGCAAAUGCCAUGUGACCAUAUGUAUCAUUCAGAUUGUAUUGUUCCAUGGCUAGUCCAGCACAACUCCUGCCCUGUUUGCCGCCAAGAACUGCCUGCACAAGGGUCGGGUAGUAGCCAUAGCUCAUCUGGAAGCAACAAUUCUAGUCGAAACAGCCGAGAUAGGGAGAAUGGUAGAACGACUCAAGGAAGGAGGAAUCCAUUUACAAGUCUUUGGCCAUUCCGAGCAUCAAGCUCGAACUCUAACCAUAGUGCUACCACUGGAAGCAACUCACCAGCUCUACACGAGACUAACCAACACGAAACAGGGUACUACGGAUGGCCUUUCGACUAGCAUCAACACUGCGUUCCUAAACUUGUUUGCAGCAUUCAGUUUUUGUGAUUGUUAUUUAAGAUGAUGAAAAUAGUUCAAGCCCUGCAGUCCACUCUCUUGUAUAAUAAAUUGAUAAUAAUGGACUUCCUGUGUGAUGUAGACGACAUUUUUCUAUUCCUUAUCGAUGCUGCUGGAAUUUGUAUAUGCUUCAUGUAUAUUAGCAUGGCGUUUCUUUCUAGAGUUGCAGGUGGUCGGGAAAUCUGUCUGUUCAAGUGAGGAUUGCUGAAUCUUCUUCAACUGAAAGUUAAAACGUCCAAAUCAAGCUAUUCUAGUAUCUACUCAAAUUGACCAAUGUUUUCCUUAUGCAUCAUCAUUCAUACUAAAACUGUACAUGUUUUUCUAAAAGUAGAGGACAACAUAUUUUAGCAUUUAAGAAAUCUUUCAAGAUGGAUUGAGGAAAAAAGAAAAAAAAGGAAUGAGAUCUGAGAGUUACAGAUGCAAGAAAAAAAAGAUAAAAACGUGAUCCAAUAUUUGAGAUCAUGUGAGUUCUUAUACUUGAACAGUUUGGUUCUUGUACUUUGGAAAGUUACCAGGGUUCAAGGUUCAGCUUUUCAAAAAGUAUACAACAGUUCUUUAGAAUCUUUUUCUUUUGCCACGUACUAUUCCAAACAUAAUAAAAACGAGUUGCGAAUGGACAUGUAGUCCUCUCAAACUUAAAUUUAAAUUUAUUUAAAAAUUUAGAUCUUUGUUGUAUUUUGUUAUAUUAAAAAGGAAAAAAAGAGUGUUUUACAUAUAAAAAAUUAAAAGGCAAGCAUGGGCAAAUAUAACAAGUUUUGGUGUGAAAGUGUUGGAACUUUUAUCUCCUUAGUUUCAAGUUUGAAUUCUAGUAUGUUACAUUUCGAGUUUGGUUUUCAUUUAUUUUGCUUUUGAAGAUUUUAAAAUUAAUUAUAAUAGUAUUAGAAAAUUAGUGGAAAAAUAAUAAGUUGAGAGUGUAAAUCUUUUAAAACUUAAGCGUUGAAAGCAAACAAAAAAAAAGAGUAACUUUUUAAAAUGAAUAUAGAGAAAAUGAAGUAUAAAAAAUGUAUACAAAUUUAAAUUACAAAUUUGAUUAAUUUGAUUGCGAGACAGUUUUAACAUAUUUUAGUUAUAAAAGGUAACGAUUGUGUACUGCCAAUAGGAAUAAGGAGAGGGUGAGUUAGUUAAAAUAAUGAUUAUUGUUAUUGUUAUAACUUACAAGAAGAAAGAUAUUGAGAAUUCUUUACCAAUGAGCGAGAAUUGGAGUAAAAUUUCAUAUGAUUCUAGAAAACAAAGUUCAUAAACAAUUGCACAAACUGUGAAUACUGUCUUCUUUUUCAUUUAAGUUGGAUACAGAUCGCAGUUUUGGUGCCUCUUGAAAAAAGAACGAACAAAGCUUACUACAAACAACUUCAAAUCAGAACCAAUUUCAAAUGCAAAUCUUUUUGUAAGAAAAAAAAAUGCUCAAAAGAGGGAACUACAGCUACUAAAUAUGUCGGCUACUCGGUUAUUGGAGAACAAACAGACAUACUCUUCUUUCUGGAUAUCUGGAAUAAGGGAAUGAUAAAUGUUGCUUCAAUCUUCAUAAAACUCGGCCACUGAUUCAGUUGGCACUGGCGAGUUGAGUUCGGAGGAGCUUUGCGGCAGCAACCAUGUUCUUGAGAGCAGGAUUCACCUCGGCGUACUUGCGAGUUUUGAGACCACAGUCUGGAUUGACCCACAAGAUGUUGGUUUCGAGCACUGCAAGCAUCUUGUUGAUUCUGUCUGCGAUCUCUUCUGUUGAUGGUAUUCUAGGGGAGUGAAUGUCGUACACACCGGGGCCAAUUCCAGCACCAUACUUGACUCCCUCACGGAAAACUGACAAGAGCUUCUCGUCGGAGCGAGAGUUCUCAAUGGUGAUCACAUCAGCAUCCAUAUCGAUGAUGGAUUGGAUGAUGUCGUUGAAGUUAGAGUAGCACAUGUGAGUGUGAAUCUGUCAUGUAAUCAUUAGGUGAGUUUAACAUAUUAUGAACUUGUUGAAGGGGUAAUGAAAAUCCCAAUUGGUUAGUGAUGUAAACCUGAGUUGUGUCUUGGACACCACAGUUUGUGAUACGGAAAGAGUGAACAGACCAAUCCAAGUAGAAAGCAUGCUCAGACUUCCUUAGAGGUAAUCCUUCUCUUAAAGCAGCCUCAUCAAUUUGGAUGACAUUAAUGCCAGCCUUCUCGAGAUCCUCAACCUCGUCCUUGAUGGCCAAAGCGAUCUGAUAGCAUGUUUCGAAUCUAGAAGAUGAUAAUGUACACGAGAAGGAUUAGCCAUAAAGUCUGGUAUAAACUAUAAAGGGGAAAGAAAACAACUACAGUAGUUUCUUUCAGCUUGGAAACAUUAUCUUUCUUCUAUUACCUUGGCUGGUCGACUCUAACAAAAGACCAGUUGAGAAUGGUGACGGGGCCAGUGAGCAUUCCCUUCAUUGGGCGGGCUGUCAUGCUCUGAGCCAUGGUAGACCAGAAGACGGUCAUGGCUUUUGGGCGGCUCACGUCACCGUAGAUGAUUGGAGGCUUCACGCAACGAGAUCCGUAUGAUUGCACCCAACCAUUGACGGUGAAUGCAAAACCAGACAAUUGCUCCCCAAAGUAUUCAACCAUAUCGUUUCUCUGCAGUGAGGAUGAAAUUCAUAUUAGAAGAGCCAAAAUGAGGAGAAGGUACUACAACCUCCCUCGACAAAAACAGUGCUCUUGAUUUUCUGCUAAAUAGGCUCCAAAUAACUCACCUCGGGCUCUCCAUGAACCAGGACAUCAAUGUCGAGCUCUUCCUGGAGCUUGACAACCUUGCUAAUUUCUUCCUUGAUUGCCUUCACAUAUUCCUCCUCAGAGAUCCUAAAGAAUGGUAAAAAAAGAUGCAAACAUUAGAAACAGGGUUAAAGUAUUUAUGAACUUCAAGGAAAGCUGGUAUCAAUUUUUACUCACUUGUUAGCUUUGUAUUCACGACGAACCCUCCUGAGUUCAACAGUUUGAGGGAAAGAACCAAUGGUGGUGGUUGGAAGGAUUGGGAGAUUAAGCUUCUUCUGUUGAGCAUCGAGCCUUGCACUAACGUUUGUUGCACGGCGGUGAUCAGAGCCCUUCAAAGCAGCAGCCUGCACAAUCAAAAAGCAAUUAAUCAGUUAAUGAAAUCCCUGCAAACAGAUAGUUAAACACCUUAAAGAUAAGAAAUGAUUGUACGGACCGCUUUCUGAACAGCCUCAUUGGUCACCCUUGGGGAUGACUUCCUUGAAGCAUGAGCUUGAGCGUUAGAAGCAAAGAAUGCCUGAAAAGAAAAUUCCAAUAAGCUUAUGAGUUUGUGCCCAUCAAUUUCAAAAGGGUUAGUACCAAGGGAAGAACGUUCAAGAAAUAAUCUAAGUUACAACACAAAAGGUUAGAAAUCAAGGCCUAAAAACAUAGAAUACACCUUCAAUAGACAAAUGUCAUCCGAGUCAAGAAUAUACCUCAUCCUUUUGACCAGCCAAGGCCUUAGCCAAUGCAUUAACUUCAACAAUCUUUUGAGCAGCAAAAGCGAGCCAUGAUUUGAUUUCAUUGUCCAACUUGGUUUCAUUGACAAGGUCAACAGCAGUGUGAAGAAGUGAGCAGGAGGUGGAGACAACAAGAUGAUCUACAUAGUUUUUUUGGAUGAAGAAGGAAUGAGUAAAUAUGAACUCUCAAAUAAUAAUAAUUAAAUCAAGCAUCAUGAACCAACAUAGUAAUACAAAUGUAAGCAAAAGAAUAUCACCUUUACCCACAAGGGCAGUCAAUUCCUCCAAUGUGCUAACUGAAGCAGCAAGAUCAUUGGCCCAAAUGUUCCUUCCAUCAACUAGUCCAGCAAAAAGGUAUUUUCCCUUGGGGAAAUCACCCUUAAUCAAUUCAAGUGUCUUAGUUCCACGAACCAAAUCAAAUCCAUAGCCAGUGACACCCUUCAAAGAAGUAAGGGUCUUGUAUGCCUCAGCAGGGACAUCAGCGAAGUAUGUCUCAAUAAGAACAUUCAAGCCAGAGAGAGAUGAUUCUAGUUCAGCAUAUGCAUCGGAGAAGGCUUUCAAUUUGUGAGAAUCAAGGUCCAACACCAAUGUAGGCUCAUCAAACUGGAUCCAAGAAGCGCCAGCUGCUUUAAGAUCAGCAAUAACCUCCCUGAAAAGUUGGGCACCAUAUUAAUAUGUGAGAAAGAGAAUCAUUAUAGAAACACUAUGGAAAAUCUUGAUAGAGUGACGAAUUUUACUUGUAGACAGGAAGGAUCUUGUCAAGAAGGGAGAGGAGAGAGAAUGUCUUGUCAACACCCUUUGCAGGUUUGGAGAGCAACAAGUAUGACACGGGACCAACGAGAACUGGAACAGUGUCUACUCCAAGCUGCAUAAUCAAAAAAAUAUUUUUUACCUCAAUUCUUUGGUACUUGUAUACCCAAAUCAGAUUUCAUAGUCCUAAAAGGUAUACGCUCGUCUAAGUCAUUGAAGCAUGUCAACACAUUCAUAAUACAAUGCAAUCUGUUUUUUGCAAAUAUUAUACCGAAAUUCCACUCCAUGUGACACGGAUCUAUGGCCUAUUUCCAAUAACUUUAAUUAGGGACAGUGUUAAAUAUAGCAAUCAGACCCAAACUAUUAACAUAUAUAACACAAAGCAAAAUAAUUUAUCAAUACAACCAAAUUUAAAUCUAGCUCUCAGAAAUAGGAAGUCUAUUGGCGAUAUAGUUUAUUGAUAGAUUUUGCCAUACUUACAAUUCUUUAAAAAUGUUAUUAUAUACUUAACUAUUAACCCUAAAACUGCUACUCAAUGCAAUUAUCCCUUUAAAAUAAUUAAAUUCUCAAUUCUCAAUCAAAACUUCUGUUUCAAUUUUCCAAUGUAUUAUAUAUCUUAUUUUAUGAACAACCAACGCAAAUACCAGAUUCAACAACUUACAGCUUUGGCUUCUUUGUAUUCGUCCACUGCCUUAUGGGAAGCAUAAGAGAACUUCACCUCUGGUCCCAACUCAGGAACAAUGAAGUGGCUGCAUCAUUGAAUUGGCAACAUUAAUUAUACUGAUCUCAUUACACUGUCAUUGCAUACUAACAAAAGUAAAAGGCUAAGUGGGUUACUUACUAGUUUGUGUCAAACCACUUGGUCAUUUCCAUAGCUGGUACAGAUGCAUUUCCUCUAGCCAUGGAGAAGUAGGUAUCAAACCCAAUCUCACCACCAGUCCAGUUAUAUCUAGGAGGAACAGCCCCAAGCAAUGCAGUGGUGUCAAGCACCUGAUCAUAGCAUGAAAAAGUGUUGCUGGGAAUGUAUUUGAUCCCUGCAUCAGACAUCUGUUUCCAGAUGGACGACCUCAGAUCUGCAGCCACCUUCUUCAAAUCCUCUGCUGUGCUCUUCCCAUCCCAAAAUGAUUCAAGAGCAAACUUGAGCUCCCUCUUGGGACCCAUACGAGGAUAUCCAACGAUGUGAGAUGCCAUUGUUCUGCUCAAGAGAUCGCGGACGUAACGAAAUUCAAUUAGAUCCUCUCAACACUACUCUUAUCUCAAAUCCCAAAUCCAAUAGUCAACAAGUAACGGAAACAGCUAACACCAUGUUAAAUUAAAAACGCAAUACGAAAUUCAAGCCAGUGAAGAAGACUUAAGAACAAAGGGUUUGUAACACAUGCAGCAAAGAUCCAAUGAGUAAAGUUCACAUAAGCUAACAAUUCAGACCCAGAUAGAUCUAAUACUUAAAAUAGAAAACAACCCAUUAAAAUACAUCAGAUCUAGGAACACAAGUCUUCCAAGAAAACAAAAAUCCCACCAGAUCUACACGACAAUACUGUAAACACAAAAAACAGAGGAAGGAAGUAAAAUUCCGAACAAUCCUUAAGCAGCAGCAAUUAGAAGAUGAAAUCCAAAAUGGGUUCAGGGCAAAGUAUAAAAAAGAGUUCAUAACACAGUGGAUCUGAAUCCCAAAUUACAGGAAUGCCAGCAUACAUUGACAAAAAAAAAAAAAAAGAAAAAAAAAGUGAAAUUUAGAGAAACAGAGGAAUGGGAAAGCAUGGAAAAAACGGGUAAGGGAAAAGAGAGAAAACGGAGGUAACCUUGAGGAAGUGGAACACCGACAGAGGCUCCCCAAGGAGAAAAGAAAGAAAUGCGAGAGAGAUAAGAGAUAGGGAAAGAGACGAUGAUACUGGGGGAGCCACAAAUAAGAGAGAAGGCGCGAGUUGGAAGAAAUGGGAAUGAAGUUUAUUUAUAGAGAUCAGAGAUGAUGAGGUGGCAGAAGCAGAUCUGGGAUAUCGGAAAGUCACAGCCGGAGAUUGGAUGGUAGCCGGUGACAGACAACCAAAUGUGUAUUUCAUUUUGGUUUAAUUAUUUAUUUUGUUCUAGUGGUACACCGAUCAAUUCUCAUUUCCUAUACUCUAAAUUACUAUACAAUAUUUGACUUUCAACACCAAAUGUAAAUGAACACUUUUUUAAAAUUUGAUGAAUUUGUUCAUAACUCACAAUUAAACCAACAUAUAAUCAGCAAAAACUUUAGACUUAACCAUUACCUACUAAACUAUAAAUGUUAAUUAAAGAAAUGAAAGUAUUGAAAUAUGAGUUUUAAUCCUUCAAUGAUUUAUUAGACAAUAUAUAUAUAUAAUGUGUAAUAAAAAUGAAAAGAAAAAAAGAAAAGAGAGAGAAAGUUUUGAGUAGGAGAAGAUGGAAUGAGACGCGUGAAGUUGGGGGCGUGGGAGAGAGGGAUUUAAGGGAAAAGGCGUAAUGUGGAAGUGAGGAAGUAGUGAGGGAGUGAGGGAGUGAGUGGCCACCACCAUUUCUUUUUCUUUAUUUUGCGUCCGAGACAAAUGCUGUGCUUCUCCCUAAACUUUCACCUCACCAAUCUCAUUCUAAUUCAAAUUAACUCAAACAUUAUUCAUCUUUUAAAUUGAAAUGCUAAUCCAUUCAACUUUUAACAAAUCCUCAUUCAACAUUCAUUUUCAAUCAUCUUUCGACAGAGAAGAAAAAUAUAACAUAUUUAGAAUGGGAUGAAUCAAGAUUAAUCUUGAUCUAAUUUGUGUUUUGAUUUUUUUUUUAUUAUUAUUAUUAUUAUUGUCACUAUUAACGUUAAUAUUUUAUAGAAAAACUGCACAUUUUUAAUUAAUUGAUUGAAAAUCGACAACAAAAGUUAAACGAAAGUUUUUCUUACCUUAGAGGUAAAAAUGUAAUAUUUUAAAUGUUUGGGACCAAAUGGCAUACUCUACACUCAAUAUUAGAGAUGAGCAUAUGGUGGAGGAGUGGGGCUGAGGUGAGUUUCCUAUUCUUGUCCUGACAUCCUUUCUCCCUUUUUCAUUCACCAUUUAAGCAAAGUUUCUUAUCGUUUGACAUUUGUAGGAAACUCCAUUUUAAUCAAUUAACAUAAAGAACUACUAGAAAAGUUUUAAGUUAAACAACUCAAUUUCUCUCUAAACUUUUAAGUUUGGAUUUAAAGAGAAAUUACUCUAAUAUACUUGCAAAAUGGAAUCAUUAAUCGAUAAAAGUAUUCAAAUAUAAUGUAAAUUUGGUUAAUGCACAUUUAAUAUUUUGUUAGAAAUCGGAUGUAGAAAUUAAUUCUUACCAUCUAUUGCUAUAGUAAAUUAAGAUAAAACAAUUAUUAUUAAUCCUUAUCAUAAUUAAUUGUUCUAAAAUGAACUUUAGUAUAUAUAUUUAAAAGUGAAAUUACAAGUUUUUUUCUUCCAAACUUUUGUCAAAUAACAAUUCUUUAUACACUAAAAAAGGCCAAUACUAUUUGCAUCGGGAGAGAAUUAAUAAUAUGUAUCAACUACAAUACAUUUUACUAUUUACGUUACAAUAAGUUAGUAUUUUUCUUUUUUUAAAAAAAAAUGGUUAAAAAUAGAAAACUAUUUACCUUUAAAAGAAAAAUCAAGUAUGGUAGAUUUUAUAUUUUAGCGAUUUUAUUUAUAUAUAUAAAAAAAACAACAACAAUUAAAUAUAACUCAUGCCCUCCUCAUCAUAAAACCUUUUAGAAAAAAGGAAGACAAACAAAAGCUCAAAAAAGAACUCCAAGUAGGAAAAGAUGGCCAAUAUGAGGAGCAAGUGUGUAAAAAAAGAGACGGAUUCGAGUAUUCGUGAAAUGUUGAACAACAACGAAUUUUCAUAGUUAGAGGAAAGAUAGGGGAGAUUCGAAAUAUAUAAACAAAGCUCUCUUCCAUGUCCAAGCAUGGUUGAGGCAUAAUUUUAAUAUGUACAAUGAGUUGUCUCUCAAGUUUUUUUAAAAAAAGAAAGGUUAUAUGGAUGAAUUUAUAAACCCUAAAAUUGGGAAUGCAAGUGAUGUGCACACGCUUGUAGAACGCGUGGCAUGAGAGGAGAUUUUGCCAUUACAUGUUUUGUUGUAUAAAAUAAAUUGGAAUUUUUUUUUUUUUGUAAGACUUUUUAUUUACUUAUUUAUUUAUUUGCAAAAAUCAAUAUAAAAAAAGAAUGUCAUAUUCAGAAAAUUAGGAAAGCAAAGGAAAUUAGAAAAAGAAAUAAAGGAAAGCAAACGCAUUUGGUGGUUGAAAUUGAUUGGGGGAUUGGUGGUGGAUGUGACUCUAAACAACUCUUUUAUAUAUCUACCAGUUGGUUGCAGAUCUAUCUCUUCUUCUUUUUUUUUUCUCAAUUACCAAUUUUAUGAGUUAAUUAAAACACUUUCACAACUCUAUACUUAUUUAGAAGGAUUUAUUAAACACCAAAUUAAAAAUUCAAACACUUUUGAGAAAUAAGAUUGAGGAUAACAAUGCAAUCGCAUGAGUUGGUAGAACAAGUGUCAUCGUCUUGAUUAACUCCUUAUUGCCACUUUGUAGAUAUGAAUUUGUCUUUUCAUCUUCUUCUAAGUCAUUUUCUUAAUGUAAACAAAUUUAUUUUUAGCACACAUGCAUCAUGAAAUAACUUAGGUUUCGUUUUAUAACUAUUAUUAUAUUUUACAUAGUUUUGUGAAGUUAGAUAUGUUUUAGUUUUAAUUUGUAUUUUAAAUUUGUUUAUUUUCAAAGGUGAUGGAAUAUUUUAAACUUUACUAAACAAAAGAAAAAAGGUUAAGAAUGUUUAAUUUCCAACCAAACCUACCAAUCCUUACCCAAACUAGGUUGAUUAAUGUUAUAAAAUACUGAUACAAAAGUUAUAAUUAAUAUGGUAUUGUAAUAUAAUAGAUUUUUUAAUAGAAUUAAUUAGUAUUGUACACAAGCUAGAAAUGUCCUUACAAUGAAAAUUAGAAAAUGGGUCUCUUUUCUAUUGAAUAUUUAUAUUCCUUAUAUAUGUGUAUAGUCUUUUCUUAUUCUUAUUAGAAAUAUUGCAUUGAUGUAAGGUGUAAGUUGAAGCAGUAGAGAUGUAGGUCUUGGUUAAUUAAUGAACUAAAACUCAUAUUAAACCAAUAAAAUGAAAACAACAAUCAUUUACUCUGAUUGUGUAAUAGUUUAAUUAAAAAAUGACAUUUGAAUAAGAGACAAUAUUGAUAUUAUUGAUUCCAUCUAUGACUUAUAUAAGGUAGCAUAGAAAUUGAACUUUCAAUUUUGUGGUUUUGUUAGUUAAAUUUUAAAAUUUAACUUUAUGAUUAUACAAUAAAAUUUAUGGUAUUGUAUAAGACACUAAAUAUUAAGAUCUUUAAAUCGAGUGAUUUUCACUAUUAUAAUAAUUCUAUUCCAAGGAUGGUUUAAGAGAUUGUGUUUGUAUAUAUAUAUACUUUUGCUCAUGCACACCAUAGCUAUGCAAAUUAAAAACACUUAAAUUAUUAUUUUUUGGAUUACUAAGCACCUUAGGUCAUAAUUGGUGUAAUCAAAGUAAGUAUUUUAUUAAUGGGUGAAUUUGGAUGAUAGCAUUUACCUAGAAUUAUAAAUUUAUGGUUCUUACAUAUUAACUUUAAUAGUUAACCAAAUAGUAAAGGACAACAAUAAAUGCAACAAAUUAAUUGACGGACUUAAUUACAUACUUUGAGGCAGAUUUCAUCACACGAUGAUUAACAUUAACACAUAUGGAUUAGCUUUUGGGCUAAACGUAAUCUUAAUUUAUUAAUGAUGUUAAAAUUUAAUGGGACAUUCUCAUUAUAAUAAAUUCAUGAAAUGCACAAACAAAAAAGCCAAAAUAUUUAAUUUAUUGUUUUCACAAUAGAAGUAAAAUUGUUUUUAUUAACUAAUAAUUCAAAUAUUUCUUUUAUAGUUUAAUUGUUUUCUAAUAACUUCUUUUUUUUUUAAUAUCCAAACUCCACAUUUUAAAAAAACAACAAAAGGAAAAAGAGAUUAAAAACAAAAAACAAAAAUAAUAUAUAUAUAUAUAUAUAUAUGUUUAUACAAUUCGUACAUUGUACAGAGAGCAAAGCGUUGAGAUAAUCGUACUCUGUUUCACCAUUUUUCUUUACAAACCCAAUUCAAAUUUUGUUCCUCUCUCUUAAACUCGAAAUCUUCGAGCAUUACAACACAAACAAAAAACAAGAAAAGAUCAUAAACCGAAUUCCACUAACAAUUAAAAAUUGAAAUUGAAAUUAGGGCCAAAUCAAAUCAACACAAACCCUAGAUUCCUUGAGAAACUCAUCCAUUACAUUCUCAUCGGCACAGAUCCGGGUCUUGUAAUUAUUGGCGUAACAGCAGUCGGAUCUGGGCAACACCGAGUUCCCAUGGGCAGAAGAAGAAGAAGAAGAAGAGGGCAUGGUCGUUGGUGGAGAAGGGAGAGUGAGGGAGUAGUCGGGAUUGGUGUCGUGGUGACGGAGGAGUUGGGAGAGGAGGAGGAGAAGAGAAGCCAUGGAUGAUGAUGGGAGGGAAGUGAAGGAAAUUAGUUGGGAGGGGGAUUGAAUGAAUUGAAAAGAGUAGGGAGAUUUGUUAUUAAUAAUGAAGGGAAUUGAAUGAAUGGCAUUUAUGGGCUCUCUUCCCACCGUUUGUAAGAUUUUCCAAUGGGUAAUUUAAUUACAAUGAGUCCGUCUUUCCACUGUUUAAUGUUUAGUGUUCUUAGUUUUCUCCGCCGGUAUUCUUUGUUUUCUUUCACAACAAAUGAAUCCAACGCUUAACAAAACCAACGCCAAAAAUCAGUGGGUCUCCCUCUCUAUGUGUAAGAUUUGAAGUAUAAGAAAGAAGAAGAUGCCUAAACUGCUCUCAAACAUCACUAAUAACGCAUCACACUUCACACUUUCACUUGUGCUGUUUUUCUUUCUUUUUAUGCUCUUCUUAAUACUAACUUUAUUUAUUGUUUCUCACUUAAAGUCAUUUUCUUUCACUCAUAUAUUUUAACUUGCAUUUGGGUCAUUUUUUUAUUUUCUUCAAUCCUAGUUUUUCUCUCUCUUUUUUAUGGAGAGUGGUGAAUGCAUAUGAAAAAAAGACAAGGUUCAAAUUUAAAUUGAAACUUUAGUCUUUAUAGUUUUAUAAAUUAUAAUUUAAUUAGUGCGAUUAUAUAUGAAAUUUUGUAAACAAAUCUUAAAACCCUCCUAUCCACUAUUUAAAUUGAAGUUUAGCCUUUAUAGUUUUAUAAAUUUUGUAAACAAGGUUACACUUAUGAUGUGUAUACAAUCUUUGUACACAAUUAUGUACAAAGUAUAAAAGAUCUUGGUAUACAAUUGUGAACCAAGAUUGUUAAUAGAUUGUAUACUUGAUCGCUUUGCUAUUAGUAUGUGAUCGUGUACCGAUUCAAGAUCUUGUACCAAACCUAAAAAAUCUUGGUACACAAUCGUGAACCAAGAUCAUUUAGGUUUUAAACACGAUCGUUUAGUUCGUACUACGCGAUCAUAUACCAAUAUGUGAUACACACAUGUAUGAUCGGUGUUGAUACUACCUACACGAUUGUGUAUCAUUGCCUAUACGGUCAUGUGUCAUUUCUUAAAUGAUUACAUAUCAUGAUCAUUUAGAAGAAGAAUUACGUGUGCGUGUGUGACUGAUUAAUCGCGUGUUGACUAGAGCAUUUUUGGUAUUUCGCAUCAUGAGCUUGUGGACUUUUUCCGAUUUUGAAAUUGCCACUUUGUUAUACUUUUUUGAAGAGUUCUUUUAUUUAUUCAUUUGUUUGUUUUGAUUUGUUCAUCUAAUUGAUUUGGUAAGACUUGUGUAAUUUUUUUAAGAAUUGAUUUGGUAAGAGUAAUAUGAUUUUUUUACUCUCCUUCUCUUUGUUUCUUUCUUCAUGUUCUUAUUUAUCUUAUUUUCUCUAAUACUAUUAAUAUUUAAUUCUUCUUAUUAAUUUGACAUUUGUAAGUUUUAAGUGACAAAUUUAAGUUAAGUCUUUUCUUAACCUUUCUAAUUGUAUACAUUUCACCCUAUACCAAAUUUGGUUCCUUUUUUGUUUUUAUAUUUCGAUUACUUUACAUAUCAACUUUUUACAUUUUUUUUAAGUGAAAGGAUUGCCAAAUUAAAAAAAGAAUAAAAAAAUAAAAGAAUUCAAAUUUCAAAUGUACAAAAUAUAUGAGAAUUUAAUAUAUAAGAAAGUUAUACAACAACAAUUUAAUAUCUCAAAUUCCAAAUUAGAGUUUGGUUUAUUUGAAUGCCAAGUUUUCCCACCUACUCUUUCUUAAAUUAUAAGAAAGAAAAAAAGGAUUAAAGUUAUAGAAAGAUGAACUUGAAUAAAUAUUUGUAAUAAUAUGUGACGUUGGGUAUUGAGGAUUAAAAAUUGGUGAAGAACCAACUCCAAACCUCUUUAAAUUUCUAACACAAAAAUCCCAAUCUUGACUUUGUAAUACCAUCCUUCUCAUAUCAAAUAAUAAUAACAAUAAAUUAUUGGUUUUUCCAAACAAGACAAACACAAAUGGAUUACUUACAAAUAUAUUUUCAAAUAUAGCAAAUAAACCAAAAUAAUAAUCUAUUUAAAAAAUAUAACAAAAUUUCAUAUUCUAGUUUUAAUCUAUUUGUUGUUAUUCAAAAUAUUUUUUCAUAAUAAUAAUACAUAAAUAAAUAUUAGGAACAGAGAGAGAGAGAGGAAUAUAGUAUCUAGAAAAGUUUAAUUCCACAGCAUAGUAUAAAAUACAAAUCCAAGGAAAAAGGAGAAUUUGUGUUUGCACAAUGUUUUCUAUAUUUUAAGUUGUACCAUCUCUUUUUACAUUCAUCUCAACCACACAAUACAAUAAUAAAAGAAGUUUACAAUAUUUGAAAAAAAAAAAACAAGAAUUUGUCACAUCACAAGUGAUAGGAUGAUUACUUAGCAAAAUAGGAUGCAUAACAAUGUCUCUCUUUAUCUGUCACUAAAAAUCCUCCAUUUCUAGCAAACAUUUGGUAAUGUUUGUAUGAGUUGAAUUAUUGGGUUGUGUAAAAAAAAAAAAAGAAACCUAAAUUCUCAAAUCAUCACUAUCAAUAAAAACAAAAAAGGAUUAAAUUAAAAAAGAAAAUCCCACAAAGCUUCAUCCUUGUUUGUAAUGUGUAUCUUAUUAAACUAAAAAAACAAGGAAAGAGAGGGGUAAUAGAACAAGUCUCCCAUUGUUUUUCACAUCCCCACUUGUCGAUCCCUUACUCCUCUCUCGCCGGCCUUUCUCUGCUUUUAAACACUCUCUUUCUCAAACCCCCUGUUUCUCCCCCCAAAAAUAAUGGAUCGUCUCAUCACCCUCGAACCCUCCAACCUCAUUCCCAUCCGAAUCGACCCCCCCCACAAAUGCUCCGGCGACCUCACCCUCCGGAACGUCAUGUACACCAUGCCUGUCGCCUUCCGACUCCAGCCUCUCAUCAAAUCCCGCUACACUUUCAAGCCCCAAUCCGGAAUCAUUCCUCCACUCUCUACUUUAACAGUCGAAAUCCUUUACCAUCUUCCACACGGCGUCAGUCUCCCCGACUCCUACCCUUAUUCCGAUGACUCUUUUCUCCUCCACAGCGUCGUCGUCCCCGGCGCCGCUAUCAAAGACUCUUCCUCAAGCUUCGACUCUGUUCCUUCCGAUUGGUUCACUACCAGAAAGAAACAGGUGUUUAUCGACAGUGGGAUUAAAGUCAUGUUCGUGGGGUCGGCUGUGUUGGCGAGAUUAGUGGCGGAUGGGGCUAUGGAUGAGAUUAGAGAGGUGUUGGAGAGGAGUGAUCCGAGUUGGAGGGCGGUGGACUCUGUGGAUGAAAAGGGGAGGACUCUUCUUCACUUGGCGAUCGGGCAGGGGAGAGCGGAUUUGGUGCAGUUGCUGUUGGAGUUCAAUCCGGAUGUGGGGAAAGUGGGGGAGAGUGGGAUGACGGCGGUGGAGGCAGCGGCGGGGGCUGGGCAGGCGUUGAUUGUGGAGUUGUUAUUGGCGAGGAAGGCGAGUACAGAGCGGGGGGAAGGAUCUGUUUUUGGAGCGAUUCAUUUGGCAGCGGCGGGAGGGCAUGUGGAAGUGUUGAGGCUGCUAUUGGUGAAAGGAGCUUGUGUUGAUGCUCUGUCAAAGAGUGGAGAUACGGCACUGCAUCUGGCCGUUCAAGAGCGCCGCCGUGAUUGUGCUCGGUUGCUUCUCGCCAAUGGCUCUAAACCUGAUGUUCGUAGUGCUGAACAAGGUUACACUUUCUCACUUUUCACUCUAUUUUUUACAUCUAACUAUUUUUUCUUCUCUCUUUUAUUUUUUUUAAAAAAGGUUAAAUUGUUAAAAUAUAUAUAUAUAUAUGAAUUUUUUUAGUAUUUAUUUCAAUAUUAAUUGUGGUCAUUAUUUAUAAAUGGUUCAAAAUUGUUGUAAGUAAUGUUUGUUUGUUUGUUUUUUUUAUAAAAAAGUUCACAACCUUAUUUAAAUAUUGAAUGCUAAGAAAAUUGAAAUUAGAGACAAGAUAUUUAAUUUAAGCUUGGGAAGCUAUCUUAAACUAAUGCAAUUAAUUAAUCCAUAUGGUUACAAAACUUUCUUUAUCAAACCAUUUUUUAGUUGUUUAAUUCUCCGUGGUUUCUAUUUAAUUAAUCAUUAGUCUUAGGAAGUGUCAAUUACAAAUUUAAAUUUAUAAUUAUCCAUCCAUUAACGAGUUGACUAAGGGUAGACUAAAAAACAAAGCAUUGUUGGGCAAAAAUGACAUUUCAAUUGAUUAUUUGUUUGAUAAUUAUUUAGUUUUUAAAAUUUAUUUGUGUGUUCCAUUUUUCACCAUUUUUUAAAUGAAAAGGUUAAAUUUUGCAAUUUAAGUACAAAAAUCUGUAGUUAAUGUGAAAAGCAAAUAUUCCUUUGUAACUAAAAUGGUGGUUCUUAUUUACAACACAGGAGAUACGGCGCUGCACAUGGCCGCAAGAAUCGGUGAUGAGCAAAUCGUUAAGCUUUUAAUUCAAAAAGGAGCCAACAAAGACAUCCGAAACUGGGUUGGAAAGCGUCCAUACGACGUUGCAUUUGACCACUCCCACACCCGCCUCUUCGACGUCCUCCGCCUUGCCGACAAGCUUGCCACUGCAGCACGCAAGGGCGACGUUCGCUCAAUUCAACUCCUCGUCGACAGUGGUGCUGCUAUCAAUAGUCGCGAUCAAAACGGCUGGACAGCACUCCACAGAGCUGCCUUCAAGGGCCACACCGACGCCUCAAGAGCCCUCAUCGAUAUUGGUAUAGAUGUCAAUGCUAAGGACGACGACGGCUAUACUGCACUUCACUGUGCUGUUGAGGCUGCUCAUGAUAACGUUGUCCAAGUACUCGUCGAGAGAGGCGCCGACGUUGAGGCGGUGACGAAUAAAGGGUUGAGUGCAAUGCAAAUUGCUCAAUCAAUGCAGUAUACAAGGACUAUGAGGAUUUUGAUGCACAGUGGUGUGAGUAAAGAUCACAUCGACGUGCCACCGACGCGAACGACGUCGUGGCAGGGGUUGGCGAAGAAGAAACAACAGAGUAAAGGAAGAGGGAGAAUCAAGAGUUUGAGGAGUACGGACUUUGAUAAAUCAGUAGCACUGUCAGUGGUGUGAGAAAAUUUGUAAAGAAUUUGGAGGGAACAUGAUCACUAUAUUUAAUUAGUGUUUUAUAUAUAAAUGUGGGUGUGUAUUUUUUGUAUGUACGGGAAUGAGAAUGUGAUGAGAUGAAUUAUAUGUAUAUGUAUAUUUUCCAUCACUUGUUUGUUUAAAGUUGAAGCAACUUUUAUAAUAAUUAUUGGAAUUUUGUAAUUAAUUCAAACUUAAAUGGGAAGAAGUUUCUGAAUAUUGAUGUCUAAUUUUAAAAAUAUUGUAAACAUUAACAAAUAAUUUGACAAAUUUAUGAUUGUUUUCUAAAAAUAGAAUAUAAGAAUAGAUGAAAAGUAUAAUUGUUAAGAACUAGGGGCGGCCUUGGUUUUUCAAUAUAUAUAGUAGAGGUCAAUUUUUAAUGUUGUCACAAACUUCUUUGGGAUUCUCACACCACCCUUCAUCUCUUCCUAUCAAAUCAAUCCACCUUUUUAAAUUUUUUUUUUUAUUAUUCAUUAUAUAUAUACAUUUGGACAAAUAUAAAAAUUAUUUCAGUUAAUUUCGUUAUAAACCAAUCUUCUUUCUCACCAUGCAAAUAAUUGAUAAAUAAGUUAGCCUCCAUUUAAUUUAAUCACUAUUUUGUUUCUCGUUUUUACGUGAAAAUUUCUAUGCCCACUCGUAGUUGUUAUAUAUAAAAAAAAAGUUAAUAAAUAAUUGGAAGAAAAUGAUUAAAUAUAAGUUUAGGAAAUAUAAUGUUUUAAAUUUAUGAAUAUUAUUUAACAUUGAAAUGAAAUUUAUUUUAAGAGUGAUAAAUAGUCAACGGGAGCCAUGUGAUAGGUUUUUUCAAAAUGCCAACUUCACUUUACUUUACUUUUAUCUACAAUUAUGUUACAUAUAUUAAUUAGUAUCAUUAUUUAUCAUAGGGGUGUUGAUUUUUUAAUGGUACAUAUAAUUUUUAAAAAGUGAUGAUAUUGGGAUGGUUGACUUAGAAAAUGAUUAGUUUGGCAAGAUGAGUGAUGAGAUUGAUCCUGUAAGAUGUGUAGUCCAUAAAUAUGAUCACACACCUUGACACAAAGAAUAAUAAUUAAGUAGUCAUAUAAGCUCAAAAUUAUUUACAAACUUGAAAGAAGAAGAAGAAUAUGGCAGGAAUAAUGAAGAAGAUCCAGGAAACAGUGCAGAGCCAUAAGAAGCAACACGAUGGGGAGAAUGGAGCUCAUGAAGGAGUUGGGAUUGUGGAGAAGAUGAAAGAGAAGAUCCAUGGUUACAAAGAGAAAAACAAAGAGAAGAAGAAGCAAAGGAAGGAGAGGAAGGAGAAAAAAGAAAAAGAGAAGAAGGAGAAAAAAGCCAAACAAAAAGCAGAAGAAGCAGAAGAAGAAGAAGAUGGGGGUGAAAGCAGCGAUGGCGAUAGUGACGACAGUGGUGGCGGGAGCGACUAAUAAGUACUGUGUGUCUUAGCGUUUCGUCCUUUCUUCUUCUUCUCUUUUUCGAUUCCUUUUUAGCUUUCUAUUAGAAUAAUAUUGCAUGAUUAAAUAUGGAUCGGAGUUGAAAUUCAAACUUAUUUCUUUUGUGUUUCUUCAAAUUUGAAUGUGUCACAUUUUAUCAUACAACAACACCACACAAGAUCUUAGAUGGUCAUUAAUAUCUACAUGGAUGUUGUCCUUCAUCCAUGGUGCUCCUUCGACUUCUCGUGCGUCUCUUGUUUUUCUUCUUCCUCCUCUUUUUUUCUCUUUAAAAGUUGAAACAAAAUUUAGUUUUAUAAUAUAUAUAUAUAUAUAUGAAUCCAAAUGUAUUAAAAGAAAACUAUCAAAAGUUUACCGUAUCUAAUGCAACCUAAUUUCUGUGCAAAAUUCAUCUCAACAAUCAAAAUCUUUAUAUAUUUUAAAUGCUAUCAAAUUUUUUGAUCUACAAUGUGUGUAGGAGUGUUUUUCCAUUGAUCAAGAUUUUUAUCUUAAAUGAUGCUAACUCAAGUCAACCACGAUUAAAUUGCCGUAAAAAUGUUGUAUUAAGAAAAUAUUUAAACUUUAAAGUAAGUACACAUUACAUUAUUGAUAAAUUUCAUAUUCAAAACUAAAAGUUUAAAUUAGCAUAGUUUAACUAUGCCAUAGAAUUUGUGCUAUCGACUUAAAUGUGAGAAUUUCAAUUCUUCUUUGAUCUUCUAGUGUUAAAUAAAAUUUAAAACUAAAAAGAUUUAUAAAUACUCGACCAAAAUCUAGUAUUUGCCUCUCAAAGAAUACACAACCAUAAAUACACAUUUUGCAAAAAUAAAAAAAUGCAAAUAUAUACACAAUAAGGAUUGAAAUUUAAAAAAAACUAUGAUUGUUUUCAAAUAUAAUAAAAGAAAUAAAAAAUUUAUAUGAUAUAAUAAAAUUUUAUAUUUUAACGGUUUUAUCAUUUAAAACAAUUUUUCAAGUUCGAAAAAUAAAAUUAAAACAACGAGUAAAGAAUACAUUUUCGAAAAAGGAAACAUACAAUAGGUAAAGAAAUAAAUAAGAAACAAAGAAAAGGAAAAUGAUAGAUUAAAAAAACUACAAUUUUUUUUGUGGAGUUUCUCAAAUUUGAACCAGUUUUACGACUAUAUUUUCAAAUCUAAAAACAAGUUAUGAAAGUAUUUUUCAACAAAUUUGUUUCUUGAAAAUUGAAAAUAAAUAGAAAAGCAUGAAAAGAAAAAGGACUAUUCUAUUUUUAAAAUAUUAUUUAAAACUAUUUCUCUUAUAUCAACUUAGUCGUGGAGACCCACAAUUUUAGGUUUUGAAAUAUAGAGUUGCAAUCAUUUAAACUCUAAAUUAAUAAUGGAAGCAAUUGAAAUCUUUAGCUUUUGUAAAUAUAUCAAUCCAUGCCCUUUUUCAAAUAAAUUGUGAUGAGUACAUCAAUUUAGAUCCUUUAUACAUCAAAUCAUCCCUUCAAAUCUUAAAAUUGACCUUUUUUUUCCAUUUGUACUUAGUGCAAAAGUCAUAUUUGUACUAUGGAUUUUUUUUUUCUUUUCGUUUUAUAAAAUAUAGUAAAAUGUUUCAAACUUGUUAAAGUUAAUUUAAUGCUAUUAGUUUAAUUUUUGUUUGCUAUCUAUAAUCAUUUCCCCAUCCCUUUUAGUAUUCAACAAACAUAAUAGCAAAUUUCUUUUGGUACCCAAGCAUUUCACAUAAUAAAUAGAACACAAGAGUGAUUUUUCUUUGGUCCUCUAACCUUCAUUUUCAAUAUGUUUAGGAGACAGCUGUUUCAUAUAUGGCAGAUAUUUCAAAAUUUAAAGCUUCCAAAUAAAACUAAAUCUAAGGUUGUUUACUUCUUUUGGUACCCAGUAUUGAACCAACCCAUGUCACAAUGGAUCGUUGGGAAUCUACAAACUCACUCCAGAUUUUAUAUCAACAUUCAGAAUUUUCAUGGUGAAACUGUUUUGAAUUUUGAUAUCCUUUUUUUAGAGUCCCAACAAAUGACCUAUUAGUACUUGGAAGCAAUUUUUAUGCAUUUCUGUUGUUUCUCCAACUAAAGUGAGUUUCCCGUAAUUGAUGUCUCCGAUCUUCUUCCCUAAUUAAAAGUAAAAUGUUGGAUUUCCAGUCCGAAUAAUAAUAAUUAAAAAAAACCACCAUAGAGAUGUUAUGAACAUUAGUAAAGAUCAUAUAAAAUCUCUUAAUCUUUAUUAUACAUCACACAUACAGUACAUAACGUAGUCUUAGAUUAAAAACAAAAAGAAACAAAGAUAGAGAAACAGAGAUCGGAAACAGAGGGAUGAUUAAUUAAACCAAAAGGGAGUGAGAUUAUUCUUGAACACACCAGCACGCGAUCGGAACACAAUCUACCUCUUAAUAAUGAUUCCGAGAUCUGACCCAUCAAUCGCUAUCGCUAUCGCUGCUGCUAUCUCCACCUUCGUGUUUGUGGCCGUGCUCACCCUUCUUCUUCUUCUCCUUCUUCUUCUUCUCCCCUUUCUCCUCAUGAUGAUCACCCCCAUGGAUCUUAUCCUUGAUCUUGUCCAUUAUCCCUUCCUUGUGCGCCCCUUCUCCAUGGUGCUCCUCGUGCUUCUUGUGUUCAUCGUGAUGCUCACCCUUGUGCUCGCCCUUGUGAGCGUCGUGGUGCUCUCCCUUGUGAUCGCCUCCAAUGUGGAGCUUCUCGCCGAUUUUCUCAAUGAAUCCAGACAUGUUUUGAUGAUGAAUUUGGAAUGGGGUUUUGAAGAGGAUGCGUGUUUGUGGAAAAUGGGGAAGGAAAGAAGGGGAAUUUAUAGAUGGCGAGGGAGGAGGAAAGACGAAUUGAAACGAAUAAAUUCAGUUUAUCCACAAUGUAUCCGUUGAUUUUGAUUGACGUUAUCUUAUUGCUUUAAUAAUUGCGUUUUUUUUAUAUAUUAUUAUUAUCCUUUUUUUCUGAUUCGUUUACGCGGUAACGCCACGUGUCACACGCUCUUCACCACGUCUUUGUUUUUUCCCUUUCACUUUCUAUUUAAUUCUAUUUUUUUGCUUUCAAUCAUACUAAAAAUAAUAAUUAGAUAUCUAAUCAGAAAAGUUUGGAGAAUUUGUUAGAAUAAAUUGUGCCAUUUCUACAGGUUAGGUUCAAGAUUUUGAAUGGGUUUGCGUUCCACCAAGUAAAUAUGAAUAUUAAUUGUAAAGGAAACUAAGAAAUUGAAUCUGAGAUUUUUUUAAUCAAAGAAAUUUACUGUGUUGGAUUGAGAAAAUUUUAAGUGUAUAUCAUAGUGUGUAUAAGAUAUGAAGUAAACUAAGUAUUUAUAGACUUAUUAGGUACUUUUAUUAUAUUUUUUCUUUUUAUGUUUAAGUGAUUUAUUUGACAUUUUUUUAAAUUUUGAAUUAAUGGGUGUUUUUCUAAAGCAUUAAAGCAUUCACUCAGAUGAAAUCUACCAAAAUUAAUUCUGUGUAACUUUUCAUUUAAUAUAAUGGACCCAUGAUGCCAUAACUCAAUUAAUGUUUAAAAUAAUAAUAAAAUAAACGUGUGAAAUUAAAUGAAAAAAUAUUGUUUAAAAUGAAUUUGAUUUAGUGGUAUUUGUACGACGUUUGUUUUUAUUGUUAUCGAUAAAAUCUUACUUUGAUCUAUAUUGAUGAAUAUAUUUUUUAAAAAAAUCAUGAAAAAACUAUUAAAAAAAACGUUUUAACUCUAAAUAAAUCAAAAUACUUCAUUUUGAAGAAAAAUUUAAGUACUUACUAUUGAUAUUAUAUUUACAUUAGUAUGUUUAAGAGUUAUGUCCUUUAAUGCAUCUAAAUCAUGUCAAUAUCUACUACUUAAGUAUACAUCAUUAUAGCUUUAUGAAAACUAUAUCCGUUCUCCACUUUUGAAUUUUCUCAACUUAGUCCACUUAUUCGUUUUCUAAUGAAAACAUCAAAUAAUGUAUGACAAAAUUUCGAUGUUUCGUUUUAACUACGAAGAGAUAACAUUUCUCUUUUCAUUAUAUAACUCUCGACUAUAUUGGUUGGUGUUUGAAAAUUUAAUAUCUUUUAGUUGAAAAAUAAUUAUAUAUAUAUAGAUGUACUCAUUCAUCGAAUAUGAAAUUUGAUGUAUAGAGAUCCGAGUUUAGAAAAAAAUUACAAUAUUAUUAUUUAGUAUUGUUUCGAGUCACGAUAUAUAUAUAUUAUAUAUAUUUAUUUUAUAAACAUCCUUUGAAAUAUUAAUGUAAAUAUAAAAUAGAAGUCAUGGAUAGGCGUGCAGAUAUGAAAUAAAAUGAAAUAAUUAUUUACUAAUCCAACUUGUAAUAACAUAAUAAAUAGCAAUAAUAAUACAUAUGAAUCAAAAUUAAUUUACAUGUUGACAUUAAUUCGGUUAUAUAAAGAAAAGGUAAACCUAACAAUUUGAAACUAUGGAAAAUAAGAUGUUGAACUAGAAGAAUCCUAAAGUAAUGCUCACAUGUUGAAUUGAAGACUAUACAAUUACAUUAUUUCAUCAUCAUAGUGAACCACUAUAAGAUAGGAGAUUGAACCUCUCACAUUUAAAAUAGAAGAACAUAUCAAUUAUUAUUGAACCAAGUUCACUUUACAUUUAUAAGAAGUAGUAUGUAUUAAAAUUUUGUUUAAACUGAAUUGUAAUUAAAAUGAAAAUCCUAUCAUAAAAUUAUAUGGCGUGAAUAGGUUAUUUUGUUUAGUUUUACCUAUUUUUUUCACAUAUUCAAUAAUCAAACUAUCACAAAAGUGUGGGUCUAUAAAAAGAUAAUAGUGAAAAUGGAAGAUUAGUAGUUUUAAUUGAAUUUAAUACACAAAAGAGGAGAAAUAGGUAAUUAAGAAAAGUAAAUAUCAAUAUACUAAAAAGUAAAAGAAAUAUGGGCAAUGGAUUGUUUAUUCAAGCGGGAUUAAGAGAAGCCACUCAUGGGAUGCCACGUGUGAAAGAUCCAUUGCCGACAUUUUGGUGUUAUAUUUGUAGAGGUCUCCGCGUUGGCCGACAUUUCAAUCAAAAAAGUGGUCGGCAGAUAAAUACCACGUGUCGUUCAUCUAAGCAUCCACGUGAAGUUAUUCUUUUUUAUUUUUUGAUUUUUUGAUUUUUUGAUUUUUGUCGUGUAGUGGAAAAUGUGGGAUUUGAGUCCAAAUUUUGAUGCAUGACUUUAUGUAAUAUCUAAACUCAUAUGUGGUUAUAAUUGAUUUAGCCAUAAAUUAAGCCUUUCAAUUUGCACCAUCUAACCCAACUUUAAUUUACAUACUAAAUCUAAUAAAUCAUCUCUCCUUAUUUCAAUCUCAAUUCCCUUUAAUUGCCUCUAUUCUUUCUUUACCUAUAUUUGUUCAUCCUAAUUAAGGAAUUCUCUUAUGUAAGGUAACAAAUAAAAAAAGCAAUAAUCUAAAUCUAAUCAUUCCAUCAUAUAUUAUUUUAGUUUAAGAAUAAAAUAGUAAAAUAGUAAAAAAACUAUAGCAAAUAAUAGGGAGUUUGAAAUAAUAUUUGUAGUAGCUAAUUGAGAGUUUUAAAAUAGUAUUUAUUGUAACUAAAGAUUGUCAGUAUAGUUUUAUAUAAUCCUCGUCCCAAAUGACAUGUAACAUGUGAUUGAAGUAUAAUUAUACACAUUUUUUAAUUUUUUAAUUUUUGAAUAAGUAUUCAUUGAACGUGAUCUCAUCGAUAUUUUAAUUUGGUCGAAAUUUCCAUAGAAGAAAGAAUAUACGAUUAUAAACUUAAUCAAAUCAUUAAAAAAAUAUAGAGUACUAUCUCCAUGAAAAUUCAUGGAUAUCAAUGAUUACACCCACCAAAAGAAGUAUCUAUCUUUUUAUAAAGAGUGUUGUAUUCGUCAGAGUUGAGGUAUCCCGAGUUGUGUUACAAACAGUUUAAUAACACAGAAGAAAAAAAAGCAUAGAUAAAUAUUUAUUCAUGUAAUAAUUGAUCUCCAGAUAUGUGGAAAAAUGAAAGGCAGAUUGAGUUUUUAUGUUUUUGUUGUUUCGUAGUAUUUUUCUUUAAAACGUUAAGAGAAAAUCAAAUAUUGAGUAAAAAGAGGAAAGUAUUGUUUAAGAAUUUAUAUUUUGUUUUUCGUCAAGAGUAUAUAGUGAUAGAAAUGAGAAAAAAGAGAAUUAAAAGGAGGAAAAUUCUUCACGUGAUGAGCAUCGAAUUCCUGGUCCAUGAUAUAUUCUUCAACAUAUAGCCCUUUUACCCUCUCAUAAUUCACUCUUUCUUCAAACUCAAGAUUUCCAAUCUAAACCCUUUUGAUGACUUUAAGUAGUGCUGUGAUUUAUGCACUUACAAUGAUCGUCUUCUUUAUCUCGUAAACAUAGGGUUUUGGUUUUUCUUUUAACAAUAGGGUUUAGUUGGUCAAAUGAGGUUUUGUGUUCAAGUCCAUGCGGUGCGAUACUAUAUUAUUCCCUCUCCAAUUAAAAUUGAUUCACAUGUCGUGUGUCUUCUCACGUAUCGACAUAAUUUAACUUGCUUAAUGAAUAUUAAUUGAGAGAGCAAAUAACAAUGCAAGAAGUUAAACACAUAACUGCGUUUGGACCAUAUGUUGCUCUAACCAUUUUAAAUUGUUGAUUGAUUUAAAAACUUAAGUUAGAAUUAUGUGAAACUUAAACGAAUUUAAUCCUAUAUCAUCUAAACCAUACCGUGCAUUUAUUCAAAAGUGGUAAAGUAUAAAAAAGAGGUAGGGAUUUGAUGUUAGUCAUGCAUAUAUAUAACUUUAUUUUGCUUAGUUUUCACGAUAUUGCUUGAGGCUUCCUCUUCAAUCUUUUAGUCUCUCCCUCAUUAAUAUGUGUAUAUAUAUAUAUAUAUAGACACAACCAAACUUUUUUCUUUUCUUUUCCCUUCUUUUCUUUCAUUAUUAGUACUCUUUUCUUCUUUUGCUUUUUCCUUCUGCUUCUUCUUCUUUCUUUCUCUUCACUUUAUUAUGCUUAUAUGAAUAAAGAAAAAUUAGUGUAUGUGAUUUUUGUUUUUACAACAAAUUAUCUCAAUAUUUAAAUGAAUGAGUUUGACAAUUUUACUCUAGAUUUCUUUUAGGGCGUUUCUGUGUUUGGGUCGUUGGAAUGCUUUUAAUUAGGAUUGGUUGAAUAUAUGCUUGACCAUUCAAAAGUAAGAUUUAUUAUUAUCAACACAACCAACUUGCACCACACAAGGAGAUUGGAAUUUGCCAACACGGCAAACUGCCAGGAAUUUAGCUACAUGUGACGUCGGAAAGGUUAUCGCAACAUUGUUUUAAUCAUCAACAAUUUGGCCAAGGGAGGAGACCCGUCUAGCAGAGAACAAAUGUCGAUGCCUGCCACAUGGUGUUUGGGAGUAAUGCUCAUAAUACACUGACACAAUUAUAUCAUUGGAAGUUAUAUGUUCAGUCCCCUAAUGCCUCUAUGAAGGUAUCAAGAUCUAUUCUAAAUUGUCGACGCUUUAUUUAAUCGUUGAUAGAAGUUGUUUAUCUCAACAAUUUACUUUUGAUGUGUUUUAUGUAUGAUGACAAAUACGUUUUUCUUUUUUCUUUUUAGUAUUGUGCAAGUGUUCAAAACUUAAGUGAAAGAGUGUGUCAUCUCCCAACUCAGUAUCUUUCAUCAUCAACCUAUUUACCCAAUCCUUUUUCGGAACUUGAAUUUGAAUAUUUGGUUUUUACAAUCUGAAAAUGUCUGUUUGAAUCACUAAAAUCUCGUUUAGUAAUUAUUUUAUAUUUAGUAUUUUUUGUUUCGAUAAUUAAAUUUAUUUUUUCUUUUCUUCUUACAAUGAUUUACAACUUUUGAAUUUUUAAUCAAAUUUAAAAAACAAAAACAACUUUUUAAAAGUUACUUAUUUUAGAUUUCAAAAUUGAGCUUAGUUUUUUUAAAACAACUAGUAAAUAGUAUAUAACAAAUAAUGAAAUUUAGAUGUGGAAGUGAUGUAGAUAGACUUAAUUUUCAAAAAGAAAAAUCGAAAAAAUAAGAUGACUACCAAACGAGUCCACAAUUUUUUAUCAAUGUCAUAACCUAAGGGUUCAUAUAACAAAGUAUCUUGGUAUUGGUGAAUGAGUUAAUUUAACCAUAUAGUAACUAAAUCUCCAUCUUAUUUUGUCAAUAUUGGAGUAACUCCAAAUUUUUGUAAGAUUUUUAGUCAUUCAAAUAAUACAAAUACUAUGUAUGAAAAAAAUCAUUAACUCAAAUCACAUAAAUACUUUAUACUAAUACUUGGGUAUAUGAAUUAUUCUUCCAUACAUCAAUUAUCAUACAGUUUCUUUUCCAUAAAAGUACCAUUUAGAUAAUCCAAAAAUUACACCUAUAUAAGUUUGGAUGUAUUUUGGAAAAUCCAUCGGAGGAUGACACUCUGUUAGGGGGAAGGCCCAUUUGUACAAACCCCAAUUUAUUGGGCUUUUAAAUUUUCAACAUCGGCUCAUUUGAACAAGCCCAUCUUUAACUAUAAUUUGGGCUUUCGUAAAAUAAUAAAUAUUGAUAAAACUAAUUAAGGAAACCCAAAUUUUUUGUUAAAUAAUUGUUUGAUGCUAUAAUUGGAGGAGAUUGUGGUUAAAGCUUAUGUAAUUAAGGUAUUGGUAACAAUUGUUUUAUUAUUUAAUUGGUAAUAUUAUAUUAUCUCUUUACGAGAAAAAAUCAAGGUUGCUAGUGCACUAUUUGAAGCAUAUGUAGUCAACAUAUGUGAUGAUAUGUUCAACUAAUAACCUAAAUUUUCUAUAGCAUAUGACUAAAGUUGGAUGGAUUAUCGUAUCAAUACUAUUAUAUUGAUAUUGUCCAUUUUAUAAUAAUUACAAAUGAUUUGACCUAAACCGUUCAUAUGAAGACAUGUGAGUACCAAGGAUAUCUCUGCAGACACAAAUGUUAUAUCUCUCUUUGCAACUUUAUAAAGCGAGAAGAUAAAAAUUAAUAUUUCACAAGACGACAACCAUAAUCCUAAGACAACCAUAAUAUUUCACCCUAUCAUUAGUUCAAGAGAGACUUGAUUUAUAAUUGAAUCUAAAACGGUUGUUCAUAAAAGUCAAUAGAUCUUUUAAAGAUGCAAUAAUAGUAUUUAUAAUUGCAUAAUAAAGUGUUCAUUGUUAUUGAUCAAUAUAUGUAGACAUACCACAUGAACAUAUCUCUUGAAAAAGAACAAAUAUUGUUAAUCAGCGGGUCGCUAACGAGUGACUUGACUUUUUUGUAUCAAAUGCUAAGGAGUGUCCAAACAAUACAUUGAUGUGUCAAAAUAUUUUAACAAACUUUUAAAAAAUAAAACGCCGUAUUUAAAUAAUAGAAUUCAAAAGGGGUAAAAUAGAGAAUGUAAUUUAGUAUAUUUAGUCCUCUUUUUGUUUCUCUAUGAUUGUUAUUUGUAAAUAUAACUUUUCUCCCUCACUAUCUCUUCAAAUCUCUUGAGGAUAUUUCUUUACUUCCUUUCUAUUAGUUCAUAAAUAUGAAUAUAAUUAAAAGUUUGAAAACAGUACUUUUAAUUUAAAAUGAAAAAUAAAAACAAAAACUAUUCCUAUCACUAAAUGGAAAUAAAAAGUUUAUAAUGAUUUUAGUUUAUCAAAUUCCAAAUUCUAGAAUAUUAUUUUUCUAACAAUUUCUCCUUUUCUUUUUCAAUAAUGUAAAAUGAAUAUUUUAUUUUUUAAAAAUAAUUAUCAAGUAAACUUUUCAUCUUUUUAACCAACCCAUAUUAUACAUCAAUUUUACAAUAUAUAUUUUUAAUUUUGAGUGAAGAAGGUAAAAAAAAAAAGGUAAUUAAGAUAUAUUUAUUUUCCAAAAUAGAAAAAAAAAAAAGGAAAAACAAAAAAGAAGAAUGUGUACGGAUCUAAACUCUAUAAUUCAAACCUUUGCUCAAAUGGUGAACUUUUGAAAAAAGAAAAAGCAACAACAUUUACUUAAAAGGAUCCCCAGAUAUAAAGUUUAGAGUAUGAAGUGAUAAUUGAUUCAAUUAAUACUUUUUGUCCAAAGAAAAUAAAACAAAUUGAUUACUUACUUGUUUAAAUCUCCAUCAUUGAAGACUUGAGAAAGUGUUUUAAAAUUUAUAAUGGAAUUGAAAUAUUUUAUAAUGUAAUAGCAUUUUGAGUUUAAAUCGUAAUAUGAAACUCAUUUCAUUUUGACAGUAUGUAAUUAUUGUGUUAUCAACUCAACACACAUUCCAACGUUUAUCUAAUCUAAUUGUGUUGAUUAAUGGGUAUAUAAGAAUCCUUCCUCUCACUUUUACAAAGCAAAAUUAGAAAAAGAAAAAGGCAAAACUUUUGACCUAUUUUUUUUCUUUUUUUUCUAAGGUUUUAUCAAAGAUAAUGCAAUUACUUUUUGGGCCACUAAUUUAGAGGAGAUUUGAGUCACUUCUCAUUAAAAGUAUGUAUUCUCAUCAUGGAAAUUUUUGGGAAGGGUAACAAACUUUCAUUUAGCUUUUUGUUUCCCUUUUUUCUAUUGCUUCAAGGAAAAAGAAAAAGAAAAAGAAAAAAAAAGAUUAGCUUUUGGAUUUUUUUUCCCUUUUUUUCUUUUAAUCUUUCUUUUUAAUUACUUUUGUUUUCUUUUUCCCUUCCUUUUAAUAAAAACAAUGGGAAAAGGAAAAGGUGAAGUGGCUUUCCUAAUGAUUCUAUAUUUUUUAUGGUGUGUUUCUUUAUGUUAUAAUAUGAAAUUGGUUAAAAUAUGGCUUUUCUCUCCGUUUAGUUUUUAUGUUUUACAAGGAUUAAAAAUGAUAUUUUAACCAAUGAAAUUGAUGUUUUGUACUUAGUUCGACAACUCGAUUUUUAUUAUUUAAAUAUUUUUUAGUUCAUCACGGGAGGUAUAAAUUUGAAUAAGGGGUGAAAUUAACGCAAAUUACUCAUGAACUAAUUAAUAAAUUAAACUAGUAAAAACUUGAGCAAAUAGUCACAUAAUGUUACAAUGCAGCUCAUUAGAGAUUGUUCUCUAUUUUGACCAAAAUCUUUCGAAAAUGAAGUAGUUUUGUGUUGUGUUGGUGUUUCAUUGAAUUGAUGUUAAAUGGCCUUGAUUCUUGUGCUAUCUUCCCAACACCCCCACUUACAAAGGCUACUUGAAAAUUAAAUGAGUGAUAAGAUCUUCACAUCCUUUGCUUGGUUGGCAGCUCUUAUAAAUAUUUAAUGAUCCUUUUCCAAAGGGGACACCCACACCCCCCCUUUUCUUUUCUUUUUUUUUCUUUCUACUUUCUUUUCUAAUAAAUAAAUAAAACACACAGUCACUCUCUCACAAAGUCCUUUUCAUUUCAAUGUAAUGUCCCUUUCUCACAGAUAGUAUUUUAUCUCAAUUCUAUUAUCUCCCUCUCAUUUUCAUUUUUUUUUUUUUAUAUAUUUCUACCCUUUCUAUUUUCCCUUCUUUAUGUUUGCAUCUAAUUUAAAUUACUAUAAUGAUAUUUGCUAUGUUCUAUAAAUUAGAUGUUGAAGUUUUGAAUUGUCAUUCUCGCAGUUGGAUAUGCAUUACAUUUGGUUUUAAAAUAGUUAAAACUACUUUGGUUAUAAAGACUAAAACGGGUAUGGUUUUUAUAUGAAUUUUCUGGCAGAAAAAGGUAUGUUCUGAAAGCUCAAAAAGUUCAAAUAAAAUGCAUACAAAUAUUUUACAAAACUUCAUCAACAAAUAGAAUAAACCUAAAAGUUAUGUAAAACCUAGUUGAAAAUAGAAACCCCCAUCAAAGAUACAUUGCUGUUCUCAGUUAGUGGCAGAGGCAAUGGAAAGAAUAGAAAUGACAGAUACUAAACUGUGGAACAAAAAAACACAUCAUAAACCUUAUGUACCAAAUUUCUUCCGAGCUUUCAGAGAUUUAUAAACAGCUUUUAAGAUUAAAAACAAAAAAUACAUUUUUAUGUGCUCUGAUGGAAAAUCUAUAAAAGAGAAUAAAAGCUUCCAGUUUUUGCUUCCAAAAUUUGAGGAGUAUCCCUAAAAUGGCCUUUGCUAUCUGCAUUAGUUGUUUCUGAAGUUUCAAAAACACUACCUUUCGAAAUGUUUUCCUUUGGAUAUGGAUGAAUUCCAAAUGUGGUCCAUAUAGGACUCCUUGAAGCCUCGCUUGGGUUAUCCACUCGUAACGUCUUUGGAACCACCACGCAUUUCUCUGACUUCUCGUCCUCUGCUAGGCUGUUUGUAUCUCUCAAAUGCUUACCGAGUGUAGGCGAUGAGCUUGUGGGGCAGGUGGAUGUUUGAGAUGCACAGACAUCAGAAGGAACAACGGUUAAAUUCCCAGUACCGGUAGAAGUCCAUACGGGCGUACAACCCCAGCAUGAGGCUGGGACGAAUUGUAAUGGAAGGCUUGGAGUGCAAAACCCUGGAACUGCCAGCACUGUUGCUGGGAGCCAUUGAACUGGUGGAUUGGGAUGACUGCUAGUAUUUGGUACACUUGUGCUAUCUGAGCUUUGGGUCAUUGCUGAUGAAAUUAGGCUGCUUCCGCCCUGAUUCAAUGGAAAAACCAAUUGUGGAACGGGGUAACAAUGAACCGUAUUUGAUGCAGUGAUAUCACUACUAGAGUUGGACAAUCUAACUGCCUCUGGCCUCUCGAUGACACUUUUAGGCAAUUCGUUUCCACGAAUACUAGUAGUUGUCAUGGAAGAUCCGCAUGAGGAUGGUUCUUCAGGACUGUCUCCACAAUAUGCAGACCCAAUCUCAAUGGAUCUCUUCUGAUCUCCAAGACUCAGCACAGUCUCCAUCGAUUCACAAAGUGGUGCUUCGGGUCCAAACUUUAGGACAGUACUACUUCCAUUGGAAGGCCUCAAAGCAGAAGGAGACUCGAUAUUCGAGAGUAGAUGAUGGUGAUUUGUUGCAUCCGAAGUUUCCAAGCGGGUUGUAGCAACUCCCUCGGAGGAUACUAUUAUCUGUCGGUAUUGAGAUGCCAACUGCUUGUUUCUUCGUCGUCCAGCACCAAUAGGAACGUUUCUCAUCGUCCCACCAGCAGUCCAAUAUCUUUGGCAGUUCUUGCAGAAAUGCCUAGGUUGAUUGACAUUAUAGUUGUUGAAGUAACAAAAUUUUGUUUCCAAACUAUUACAUCUAGGACAAGGAAUGAUUUUGUCUGGCUUCUUAAAUGCUCUUUCUUGAUCCGUGCCAUUACCAUCCUCCUGCUCUUCUUUCAAAUGUAGUUCUGAUUCUCCCUUGUUUGACGUCACGUUCGAAGCUUGGUUUUCUUCAUUAUCCCCUACCAAUACCGAAGACCUCUCUGAUGGGCAAGAGUCUUCUGCACCUGAGACUGACUGCUCAGCUUUUUUCAAAUUGUUGCAAGCAUCCUGAAAACAGUAUUCAACAAAUUGACACUUAACAACAGUCAGAAAAGAGAAGCACACAAUCGACAUACGUCGAAAAAAAAGCCAAGAAGUGUAUCAAAAUCUACAAGGAGAUGGGAUUUUACAAAACAAGACCUCAGAGCCCUUCCCAAAUAAGGUAAAAAUUACAUUCAUUCAAGAAAGAUAGUACAAUAUGCAACACGAAUGAAAAGAUACAAGGAAACAUGAUAUAAAUGAACAGAACACUUCCAUUAAGGAAUCAAUCUUCAUCAAACAUUUUCAGCAGCUCCAGAUAUUCACAAGAGAACUUCAUUUAACCCUCAAUGGAUCCACUACAAACUGAACCAAAAAAACCAUCUGAAUUCCACAUUCAAAUUUGGCUAAAAACAGUUCUCCUAAUGAACUUCUUCCAAAACCACAAAGUUGGGAAAGGAACAGUAAAGUCAACCAAGGCCACAAAAACAUUACAAGAACAAAUCUAAACAAAAUCAUAUAUUGAAGUUAAAACCCAAUAAGGGCCCCAACCCAAAUGCUUAGAGAACCCAAAAAAACAUAUACACACAAUGAAAAGAAGAGUUGAAAUGAGAGUAGAAGAGGGGGAAAGAGACAACUCAAUAGAAGAAGAAGAAGAAGAAAAAGAAGAAGAAGAAGAAGAAGACCAAGAAUAUGAAUAAGACAGUUAAAUGAGCAUUUCAAUAAUCUUUUCCAUGUCCCACAAACACACACACACACACACACACACACAGUAAAGGCAUUUUUCAGAUUAAACCCAGAAAGCAAGAAGCCAUCAAAAUAAAGAGAGAAUGAAGGAAAGGGGAGGAAAUAAAAUAGGUACCGGAUUAUGAAGAGGGGCGGCGGAAAUCUGGGAUUCCGGCAAAGGGAUGGUCCGACCGAAGAGUUUAAUGGCGAGAUCCUUGAAAUGUGGGGGGGAAAUGACAUCCUGUGUAGUAGAACUGGACAUUUUGAAAAAUGGGUUGUUAAUGGAGAGUAGUUUGAUUGAGAAAGUGGGAAGGUUUGGAGGUGAAAAUCAAUGGAAGAAGACCCAUUCAAAUAUAGAGAGAGGUUAUGAAGGAGGGAGAAGGAGAAGGAGAAGAAGAAGAAGAAGAAGAA